rnacentral:lncRNA from 1 species
CAAAAAGUAAAAAAAAAAAAAAAAAGUUUAUGUUUGAUUUCAUAAAAUAUUGAAGAAAGAAAAAAAUUUUAUUUGAUUUUAUAAUAAAAAAAAUACGAAAUAUAAUUAAAUAUAAUUAAAAUUAGUUGAAAUUUUAAAUAUUUUAAAUUAUUUUAUAGUUAAAUUAGUUUGUAGUGACUAAUAAUAAUAAAUUUUUUAUUUUUACUGAUCCUUCCCUCAGGAGUUGGUUUUAUGGCAUUUUUAAAAAGUGCUUAUAUUUUAUAAGGUAUUUUUUUUUAGAAAAUUUAAGAGGUUUAGCAAAAUUUGAAAAGUUGCAAAAACCACUUUUAUUGUUUUUUUGACAAAUGAUUGAUAAAACAUUUUCCUUAAAAGGUAUUUAAAGGAAAAACAUUAUUUUAAUUUUUUAUAAAUUUUUAACAACAAAGAUAACGAAACAUUCUUCUUUCCAUAUAUAUCAUGAUACAACGUGUAAAAGUCAAUUACGUAGAUAGAAAAAUUAUAUUAUAUAUAUAAUGUUGGAAACUUUAUCUUCUGGUCUAUUGGAUACAAGCUCUUAAACACCAAUUUGGUGACUUUAAGAGAAAUUAAGGGCCCCAUUGAAUCAAAAUUGAGGCAAUUUGUGGAUUUGGUGCGUGAACACCAUACGACAUGAAAAUGUGAAGGAAGAAAUACGAGUGUGAGUGGGCCCAACGGGCCUGUUGUUGAGUGGAAUGGGCAGGGCCCAAUUCUCCUUAGUCAAAAGUGGGUCUGACAUUUGGAAUCAGCCUUUUGAUUUCCUAAAAAUCCUUUUCUUAUCAUCCUACAAAGCACAUUUAUGGUUUUAAAACUUUGAAAGUUCCUUUGAUGGAAGAUACUUUUAGUCAAAUUACCCAUAAGAAUAUUUUUUAGAAUUAUUUUUUUAUAAAUUAAUUAUAAAUAUUAUAUUUAUUAAAAUAGUUUUUUAAACACUAAAACAAGAUAAAAUUUUGAUUCAUUUAUGAUUUGAAAAAUAAUGGUAGCUAUAUUUCAUUAAAGUGUUGAUUUAUAUAUAUAUAAAUUUUAAAUUAGUAAAUUUUUUAUUUUUAAUAAAAAAUUAUUUUAAACAUGAAAUUAAUUACAUAAUAAACCUAAAAAUAAAAAUUAUCUCAACCCCAUCCUUAAAUUUUUAAAAACAUUUGUGUAUUACAAAAGUUGGGAAAAAUAGAUUAGAAAACUAAAAUAAAGAAAGACGGAUAAAAAAGUUAUUUUUUAUGUAAAGAAUAAGUUAAAGUACAAUAAUGCAGCUCUUAAACUUUAAAAUAAAUUAUUGAAUUGAGACACUUAGAAUAUAGUCACAUAUGUGAUAUUGUUAUAUUGAAUGUAAUAAAAUGUUUGAUUUAUUAUUAUUAAAUUUAUUAAAUUUUAAAUAAAAUAAUCAAAAUCGAAUUCAACUGAAACGAAAAUCGUUAAAUGUCAUAGAUUUUUAAUAACAUUAUAUUUGUUUUUGUUUACAUCACAAUAUUUUAGAAGACUUGACUUACUAUUUAUUUAUUUAUUUUUGAAAAAUAAAUAUUUUUUAUGGAAUGGGAAAUGUUGAAUGAAAGAUAUGAAAUGUUGGAUGGUGGGUGAUGAGUCAAAAAAUGGGGAGGAGAGAGGAAAGCUUCACUUUAGAGAUUGGAUCACAAAUGUUGGGGAAAUGGAAGUUUAGGGGUAAUGGGGUGGAGGGUGAGGUGUUGGUUGGUGCUCUGACUCUAGACCCCAAAUGCCUAGAGGUGAAGUGACUCAAACCUCCAUACUCCAUACAUAAAUGUGAGGUAACCCUCUUUUCUUAAAUCUUUCCUUCAUUUCAUUAUUACCUCCUCUCCCAUCCUAAGUAUCCUUAGGGGCCUAUUCAUUCAACACCCACUCAUAUUUACUUUGAAAAAUACCCCAUUUGUGGGAUUUUGUCCUUUUUUUCCCCCUUUAAAUGUUAUGUUAGGUACAAGACCAACAUAAAAUCUACUUCCCAAAGGGAAUGAUCAAAUUUGGACCAUUCAAUGGAAGCAUGAAAAAAAAGAAAUACAAAAACAAAUAAAUAAGAUUAAAAAAAAUAAAGUUGAAUAAAAAAAUUAGCGAGCGACCCUUUGGAUUGGAAUUUCCGACUUUCUGAUAUUAAAAAAUUAAUUUCUUAGUGACAUAGAAAUAUAUAUUUUUGAUAAAAUUUCAUAAAAUAUAGAAAUUUUGAAAAAUAACCCCUCUAAAAUUUCAAAUAUUUAGAGAAACUCAAUUAAAAUAUUAUACUCUAUGUUACUCCUUGUUGAAUAGAGGGCAACAAUGUUUAAUCCCAUUUGAAGGGUCAUCACCAAGAAAAAGAAAGACAUGCCAACAAAAGACCUCUUAUUUAAAUUAUUUCUUUUAUGAUUUUUUUUUCUUAAAAGAAGUAUAAUUAUCAAACAGACUUUAAAUUUUUUAUGAGUUACAAAUUAUUUCUACAAAACCGAGUUAAUCUAUUUAGAAUAUUGAAAAAAAAAAAAAACACUUUAUCUUUGUAAAAUCAAAUCCAAACCUAAACAUAUGGUAUAGGAUAAGCUAGUAAUUGAAUAUGGUUGUGGUUUUGUUUGCAUGCAUUUGGAUUUGUCCCACGAUUCCCAAAUGGUGGCCUUUAAAGGGUUUUAUUUUAUCUUACUUUUUAUAAUUUAUUUUUGGUUAUGGAUAUUUUGCAAGUAAUUAAGAAUUUAAGAGAUAGUGAGUGUGACCCACAAAUUCAAAUGGAGACAAAAUGAAAUGUGGUUGUCCACCACAUGUACUUGAACCAUAGGGGUUCAUCCAUUUGUGUGGCUCAUAUCAUGAACAUUGACCCCAAAGCAAAUCUUCCAUUCUUUUACUUAUUCCUUGUCACACUAUUUCUCUCCUUUGGGAAUGUUUAUCAUUUUGUCACCUUCUUAUAUAAAUAUUUCCCUUAUGUAGGAUUGUGAAUAGGUGUCAUCUUUUAAGCUAAUUUUGUACUUGAAAAUGUAUUUUUUUUAUAUUUAAAAUAAGAUAAUUUUGACCUAAAUUCAAAAUUGCUUUCUUUUUCAUUGAAGAAAAAAAAAAGUAGUAGGAGUUCAAUUUAAUGUUAUUAAUAUAUAUAUUUUUAAAAAAAUUUAAAGAUAAUUUUUUAGUAUUUAGGAGAAAUAAUAUAUUUUAGCCUUGGAGUCUUCUUUGUUUUUCAUUUAAGUUUAAAAUCAACUUUUAAUUUAUUACUCUAUUAAAAUAAUUUUUGACUGAAUAAAAAGGAUUAAUUCGUGUACUUUUAUUAAAAAAAAAGUGCUUAUUUGGUUGCCCUUUCUGUUUUUUGUUUUUAAAUAUGGAAAAUAAUAAUAAUUUUAUUUAUUAUUAUUUUUAUAUAUAAAAAAAGAUGAAUUUGUCUUAUGUUGGUAAACUAGGGUAGAUUUUUUUUUUAAAUACCUUGAAUUUUUAAAUAAAUUUUUUAAAUCAUUAUUUUUUAAGCUAAGUUUCAAAAAAUUCUUUAGUUUCAUAUAAAAAUUACUAUCAUUUUCUUUUUUUUCUUUUUUUUUAAACCACACACAAAUUUUUCUUUUUUCUUUUUUAAGUUGUUCAAUACUCCUCCCAAAUUUUUGGCAUCCACUACCCGAAAUCUCCAAUCAAUAAUUUUUUUUUUUUUGCUUUUUUAUUAUUAUAAUGAAUAUUAUAUUAUAUAAUAAUUUUCUAAUAUCAUUUCAAGGUUAAUAAAAAUGAAGUUAUUCUUAGACUUUUGUUUUGCAGUGUUUUUGAAAAACAUUUUUAUUCUAAAAAAUAUUUUUGAAGGAAAAUGAGGUAUUUAACAUAAUUUAAGAAAUGCUUUUAAAAUUUUCAAAAAUCAUUCCUAGUGUUUUAUGGAGAAAUAUUUGAUAGGUGAUUUUCCUAAAAACUGUUAAGAGAAAACACUUUCACUAAAAACACUUUGAGUAAAAUCAUUACCAAAAACACUUUUAUGUUUUUAGCUCUCCAUUGAUGGCUUAAUAUUGGGCUUUGGAAGCAAUUAGUUAUCGUGUUUACAAGAAUAAAGAGUAUUGACUUGGGCCUAAAACUCAUAUUGGGCCUAAAAAUUUGACUGACGUCAUUCAGCUCAAGCCCAAGCAAGCUGUCUGGAUUUAUUUUGGGCCCAGCCACUGUUUAUCAGGAAUAAAAAGAAUGCAUGACUUGGGCCCAGGCCCUCCAAGUUAAAUCCAAUAAGGUGAAAGUGGAUAGCGUCUAUACGUCUAUAUAGAAUAAUCAAAUUUCGGAUAAGAAUAUAGAAAAAUAAAAAUAAAAAAUUCAAAAGCCAUGCGUAAAUCAAGUAAAUAAGGCUAAAAGCACUUUUGCUCUGUUUUCUCUUCCCAGUCUGCUUCUCCAAGCUGAAAGAUGAAGCUGUCAGCACCAGAAAUUUCCACAUUCACAGUGAUUUUCGUAGUGUUUAUGGCAGUCUCAGCACUUUCAACUGAACCCAAGUGUGAAUUCAAGGCUAUCUUUAACUUCGGCGACUCAAACUCCGACACCGGCGGCUUCUGGGCAGCUUUUCCGGCACCGUCUCCACCCAAUGGCAUGACCUUCUUCAAGAAGCCCUCUGGACGGGCUUGUGAUGGGAGGCUCAUUCUUGAUUUCUUAGGUAAUUUUCAAGACACCAAGUCCAAAGUAGUUGGACAAUUUGAACUCUUUUAGUCAUAUGACCCAGAAUCCGUUUCUGCUUCUUUUUCCUGCAUUUUUCUUGCUAACCAAACGGAGGAUAAUGGGUUUGUCAGAGGAGAAGAACGUGGGUGUCUCUGUUUUUUGUCCUGAAGAACGUGUAAUGUAAUUUGACACACAUUGCAUGGUUCUGUAAACUAGAACUGGGAUUAGGGGGUGUUUGGUAGGUGGGAAUGAAUGCAGAUCCAAUGACUCUGUUUUCCUUGACUUUUUCACCUCUGUUUAGGAAAGUUCUGGCCCACUUCAACGGGGAGAUGGGCGGUUUCAGCCUGUUAUACUUCCCAAUCCCAACAAAAAGACACAAGGCCUAGCUGGAAAAAGCGAGGCUGUCAAUUAUUCUCAAUGAGGAGGAUACAUCAAUUAUUUGUAGAUUUUUGUCUGAAGUUCAUGAGGUACGCUUGAUAUGAUUUUGAAUUAUUGGCUCCUUCAACCCCACAGUUCGGCUUCACUGUCUUCUAGCUUUUUAGUUCACUGAGAGAAAAAUAGAUUCUCAGGGAAGGAGAAUUAAGGUUGCGUUUGGGAAUGAUUUAUUAAGGGCUAGAAACGCUUUAUCGUGUUUAAAAAUGCUUUGGGACGCUUAGAAAUUUCAGAAAAGUUGGACUUGCAUUUUAUAAUGUUUAAUGACAUUUUCUCACGCUUAGAAACAAUUUUUUAAGAUAUUUAAAUGUUUGGAAAAACUUGACUUUCAUGUUUAAGUUAUCAAAAAGUCAUCAUUAAUCUGAUAUCAUAUGUAUAUUUUUUUUAAUAUCGUUAUUUGUACCAAUCUUAUUUACUUGUAUUAUUAUACUUAUGUUCCACUCGUUGGUACUAUCAUUAAAUGACUUGAAUCUUAUCACACGUCCACCAAUUUAGAUUUCUUAUUUUAUAAGUGACUAAGUGCUACCAUAAUAUCAUAUUAUUUUCCUAAUGUUUAAGAAUAUAUUCGACCAUUAAAAAAAGCCCUUUUACAUUGUUUGAAAAAACUUGGACUUGAUUUAUCAUUUUUUUUUCACUCAUUUUUCUACUAGCACUCAAGACAAAAGAUAUUUUGAAGAAAAAUGUUAACAAUAGUAGAGUUCAUUUGAAAAUGAUUUUGAUUAAAAUAUUUUUAUUUGUAAUAUUUUUGUUAAAAACAUUAUCAUUAAAAAUGCUUUAAUAAAAAAUAUUAAAUAAUUAGAUAUAAACUAUAAAAAAGUAUUUUGAUUGUGUUUUUAGUAAUAUAUAUAUAAAAUGAUUUUUGGAAAAAUUACGAUCAAUUAAUUACUUAACAAUCAUUUUAAAUAUUUUAAAAAUUUUAGCAAAUACCUAAGUUUUUAAGGGAAGCACUUUUUAACCCCAUUCAAAAUCAUUUCCAUACUUAUGAACAACUUGUUCUAAUAUAUUCCUUCAAAUCUUUUGAAUGAAGUAAGACAAAUUUAUACAUGGAUUUUCAAAAUAAGAGUGGAUUUCAAAGUGCUUUUAGUUGAUUUUUAUUUUUUAAGAUAUUUUUUUGGGAAAUCACCUAUCAAGUGCUUUUCAAUUUUUCAAAAUUACUUUCUAAAUUUUGCUAAAGGUUUAAUUUUGUUUAAAAACGUUUUUUAGGCUAAAAAUAUUGUAAAACGGAGUCUAAAUGUGUUAAGGUUUAGGAAAAUUCGAUUAGGGAAUUGGGUAAUUUGAAUGAAAUCAUGAUUCAUUCGGAUUUCAUAAUCGCAUGCUUCCGAUCUUGGGAAUAUUGGUAGCCUUCAAAAAGCCAAAACUGCAGAGCCAAGUUAAUUGAAAUAAUCCCUCCUUUUUAUUUUUUUCUCUGGCAGCUCAAGCUCUAGGGCUGCCAUUUAUAAGCCCAUAUCUGCAGUCAAUUGGGUCUGAUUAUAGACAUGGAGCCAACUAUGCAACAUUGGCAUCCACUGUGCUCCUGCCAAACACUUCCUUAUUUGUCACUGGCAUCAGCCCAUUUUCCCUGGCCAUUCAGCUCAACCAAAUGAAGCAAUUCAAGGUUCUAGUUGAUGAACAUCACUUCUCAGGUACCAUCUUUACAUCAUUGCAUAAUUCCCACGUCUCGAUUCGAUCUUUUUCUUCAGAAUUUGAUCCUUUUAAUGGACUUAAACAUGUCCCUAAAUGUUUAGUACUCUUAGUUCAGGAUGAUAAACUUUGCCUUGAUGUUUCUGAAGUUUAGCUAUUGUUUCUAGGAUCAAGUUAUCUUCCUCAACCUGACAUUUUCGCGAAAUCCCUCUACACGUUCUAUAUUGGUCAGAAUGAUUUCACUUCCAACUUGGCUGCCAUUGGCAUAGAUGGAGUCAAGCAGUAUCUUCCUCAAGUCAUCUCCCAAAUUGCAGGCACCAUCAAGGUGAGUCUUUCAAGUCUAGUCUUUGAUCCAUUUGCAGCCUUGAACUAGCCUACUUAGCUGAAUGAGCUUGAACUUGAAGGAGCUAUACGAGCUAGGCGGCCACACGUUUCUGGUUCUUAAUCUUGCACCGGUAGGUUGUUAUCCAGCACUUCUGGCGCAGCUGAAACACAACAGUUCAGACAUCGAUGAAUUCGGGUGUCUAGUCUCUUACAACAGGGCAGUGGUGGACUAUAACAAUAUGCUGAAGGAGGCACUGAGCCAAACCAGAAAGCUUCUCCCAGAUGCCUCUGUCAUAUAUGUGAACACUCAUGAUGUGCUGCUAAAGCUCUUCCAACACCCCACACUUCAUGGUAUUGCAUGUAGCAUGAAAAACUGUUACUUUGUCAGGUUUUUGGAUCUUUGCCAUUGUUGAUUUUUUUCUGGCUUGAUUUGGGACAGGUCUCAAGUAUAGCACCAAAGCAUGCUGUGGACAUGGGGGUGGUGCCUACAACUUUGACCCGAAAAUUUUCUGUGGAAGGAAACAGGUGGUGAAUGGUAGGAAUGUCACAGCAGAAGCUUGUAGUGAUCCUCAGAGCUAUGUGAGCUGGGAUGGGGUGCAUUCAACAGAAGCUGCAAAUAAGAUUGUGACAGAGGCCAUUCUCAAGGGCAAUUAUUUUGAUCCUCCUUUCCCAAUCAGUAAGCUCUGUGACCUUCAACCUAUAGGUUGAUUUCUUAAUGGAGACUCAUUAUGGUGGGGAUUAUUACUCUUAGAUACAUUAUUCAGAUAACUAGAAUUCCAAUAACUAUAAGGGAGACUCUCAUCAGAGGUAAUAAAUUAGACCUUCUUGUCAUGAAUCUAGAACAAAUUUUUCUUUGAUUAAUCUAAUGUGUUGGAAUACAAAAGUAUCUGCAUUUUUGUGUAAAGAUGGUGAAAAGAAAACUGAAGGAGAAUUCAAGGAACAUAUGCAUUCUCAAGAACAGGCGGUGUUCUGAUCAUUGUUGCAGAAGGGAUUUUGCUUCUCCCUAUCCAGAUUGUGUUGAGAGCUUCGCUGUUUUCUGAUUUUCUCUCCAUUUCUUCCAGUUUCUUCUUCUUCACUACCUUAACAACAGCCAGCACAGCCACAGCCGCUAUAAUCAGUCCUGCAAAACCGCCUCCGAAUCCAACUGCCCACCACUUCCACCACCUCUGUUUCUUCACUGGUGAAGCUGGAACAACAACAGAAAAAUGGCCUUGGCCUUGUGCAAAACACACAUUUGGGGUAGUCAUGUUACUGAAUUGAACCGAUCCAUCAUCUCCAAAUGUGACACAUUUGGUCUUAUUUUCAUCUUUUGGUACUAAAAUGCUGGGAAAAUGAAUUGAAAUGGGGUCCCCCGAGAUGCUGAAAUUGAUCUUGAGAUUGCCUAAGGCGCUCAGAUUUGUGGCAUCAUAGGCCAUGAAGCCAACAACAGGGGAAACAAGCGAAAAACCGGGUACUUUGUAGUAAUCAGAAGACCAGUUCCCCAAGUUUUCAUAGACUAUGGCCAGCCUUUUCACAUAAGGCAUUGGCAGAGUCCUUCGAGGGAUAUGAAAGGAGCUGAAAUUCACUCCUCUUUGCCAUAAACUCCCACUUCUAAGACGAACAACAGAGACUUCCAUGGUGGAAAAAUUUGCAGGGAGGUGAACUCUGUACAGUCUGCCUGUAUAAGGCCUUACCAGAGCCUUCCAAGCUUGAUGAUGAACAAAAACAUCUAAGGACUCAGGGUCAUAGCCAUUCAGACCUUCCACAAACGACAAUGCUGAUAAACAAAACAUCACCCAGAUGCUGCAACCCCAUCUCCUUCUAGACCCCAUCACCAUAAUUAGCCAGAAAAUUCUUCACAGUUUCAUGCCAAUUCCUUGAACUGAACUGGCCUAUAAUCAUCAAAAACCCUGCAACCCCUCAACCCCACAUCCAUACUCAAGACCCCCAUGAAACAACACGAGGACUUGAAGUGAAAUCCCCCAAAAUUAUCUGGGAAUUUUCUAGGGAACCUGAGGGAAUUGGUGGGUGAUGAUGGGGAUUAGAAAUUGGGUGGUGAAAUGGUUGUCUUUGUUGUUGUUGGAUUGUAUGGGGGGAGAAGGCCAUUUAGACCGGCACCCAGAAAAGAUUGGUUCCUUUUUGAGUUGUUUUUUGGGGUUUGGUCUCUGAUUUUCUUUCGUGACAACUCAUUCUUCAAGUCCUUUCUCUUGGAGUAGUUUCUUCAUUUUCCUUUAUUCUCCUAACUCAGUUUCGGGGCCCCUUUUCCAACUUGCUGGACGGGUUUGUUUCUUCAUUCUUUUUUCUUUUGAUAUUUGUUGGGUUAGUUGAAAUCUUAUGAUACAAGACGGUGCUGCCAACUAUGUCAUUGGGUGGAAUAAGCCCACAAGAGAGGACAAGGUUGUGCCCUUCCAAGAAUAAUAUCAUUAUUCUAUGGUUAUGCUUGGCCACUCCCCUUCCUUAACUUAUUCAUACCGAUAUUUCUCAAAGGCAAUAAGUUAGAAUUAUUUUUAAAGGAUAAUAUUGGUAUUAUAAAUUUUUUAUUAAUUACCUUAUAUAUAAAUUAAAAUAAAUUUUUUAUGUGAAAUAAUUUUUUCCUCUUUUUUAAGUUAUGUAUUCUUUAAAUAAAGUUAGAGUGCAAUUCACCGUAAUUCUAAAAAGCGGUUUCAAAUACCUAAUUUUCGUAGGAAUUGUGAGAGGGGUAUUAUUGUCUUUUUACUAAAAUGUGUUCGUCAAAAUAAAUUUUUGUUUUAUGACCUAGACCUACUAAUUAUGAAAUUAAUAAUUCAAUUAAUUUUCUUUAAUGAGUGUAUUAAUUGCGAGUUUAGCAGAUAGGAAGUAGGUGAUUGUCUGGCCGGCACCAAUCUCUGGAUGACACGUGGAGGAUCGAUCUUAUGGUGCUGGGUCAAUAUAGAAGGAAUCAUAUGGGCUGUAAUGUAGCUCAUUUCGGCCCGAUGGUGACUUGGUGAGAAGGAAGGGGUGGGUCCAGUUGGGAACCCAAACUUUGCCACAUGGGCUGAAAAUUUCAGAUGUGAGCCCAUUCUUGUUAAGAAGUCCAUAACCCAAAACAAUCCCACUUGCGGUCCUUAUUCAUUCUUGUUUACAAAGCCAUUAAAUUAAAGUUAUAAAGCUUGAGAAAUUUAUUAAAAAAAAAAAAUUAUUAAAGACAUGUUUCAAAAUUAUAGUAGAAUCAUAAUUAUUUUAUGAAUUUAAAAAUAAUAAAAUAAUUAUAAAAGAUAAUAAUUAUUUUACUUUUCCCCGACCAUAGGUCAAAAACAUUGACGUUCAUCUGGUUUAAGAGUAGUAUGGUUGUACUCGAAUAAUCUCUCCAAUAUGACACUCUCGUGGUUCAAAUCUAAGACCUUAUCUUCGAUAGACUAUUUUAUCUGAAAAUCAAUUGAUGUUUAUUAGUGAUAGAUCAUUUGAUUACUAUCAUUUAGGUAACUUGUUCACUAAACUUAAAAGUAGCAUUGUUGUAGCCUACCAAAAUUAGCUUGUUUGAGCCUAUAUUUUUAUAGGUUGGGUUUAGAUAUUUGAAUUCAGAUUGGGUUUGGAAAACAUAACAUGGUGUUGUGUAUGGAGUGUGACCAAGGGAGGAGGAUUUGGAGAUAGGCCAAUCAACCAAUGAAAAUACUCCAUUUCUCCACGUGUCACUCUACAGGCUCAAAAGGAAAAAUCUAGGUAUGAAAGGACUGAAGACCAAACGAAUGGACUCGAAGAAGAUAUAGCAAAGCAAACAACACUACGCUGCCAAGAGUUGAUUGAUUCCUAAUCCAUGGCAAUGCCUUACGUUGCUGUAGCUUCCUCUUCCAUGGCGGCCACGCCGGUCCUAAUGCCUCGCCUCCCGGCCACUGCCGCCGCCAACGCCGCCACCCGCUGUUCCGCCUUGCCUUAUCUCCCACCUCGUUUGUCAUCCUCUUCCAACCACUUUUCAGGUACACUGUUUCAACUCAAUCAGGCGCUAAUCUUAAUUAUAUGGGAUGCGUUACUCAGCUCCAUAUACAGUGUGGGUGGUGUACAAAAUGCUGCGUUUUUAUCAGGGUGUGUCGUUUUAUUCUCUGUAUGCAUUUUUUUUUCCCCUGAUUGGGGGAUUUUGUCGAGCAAGUGGUGGAAAUAUCCUUGCUAAGUGUUUUCUAAAGGGGCAGAGUUUUUUUCUUUCCUUUUUUCUUUGUUUUUAAAGAAAUUUAGUUUGAUUUUUGAGUUGGGUGGAUUCCAUUUGAGGGGUGAUAAUUUGAUCUUUCUGGGUCCUGCAUUUUCUCGGGAACCAAACAGGGAAAAUAACUAUGAGGUAUAUUUCUUUAUAUGUAUCCUGAUGGAAGAAUUGUUAAUUGGGAAAAGAUAAUUUAGAAUGAAUAUGAUGGAAUGCAUGAAAAAAGGUACAGGAAAUUGAGAAAAAAAUUAUAGCAAUAAUGGAAUUUAGAUCCUUCACUGCAAGGGGUGUUGCUGAGGAAGUAUUCAUUUCUAAAUGCCUUAUAUUUGAAACUUUAGAACUCUCAUAGCAUUUUUUCAGUGGGGUUCAUGUGGUCAUUACUAAAAACCAUCAAAGGAGUCCAGCCCCAACAUGUUUUUAUGUUGAAUUCACCUUUCCAUAUAUUCUUAAAGAUCAACUCUACACUCCUUUUGUGCCACUGAUGGGAUAUCCAGAAAUUGGAUGAGCGGCAAAUGGCAAUCAUCUGAAAAGCAGUAUAUCCCCUCCCAUCUCUUGUGCUCCUUUUUCAGGUUCUUUGCAUAGAUUUGGGCCUUGGACCGGCUUGGUCAUGUGGACUUGUGUAAUGAAACUCGGUGGGUUGAAGUGGAUGGUAAUGGGAGUGAUGGUGUCUAUGUGCAAAAUGUAAAUAUGCCUUUGAUGAGAAUUAGGCUCACUGGUACAGGCUGCUGUGCACUGUGUGGCGCUGAGUAAUGAUGAUGAAGGAUGAUAAAAUGCAACAUUCAAUGUGUAGCUGGAACUAGAAUUGGCUUGUAAACUGGAGAUGAGAACAGUAUAUGAUAGUCAUCAUCUCCCCUGAUGAAAUAAAAGAGAAAAUCUAUAUGAGCACAAAGGUCCCAUGUUGCUUAUUGAGCAUAUAUCCCUUUCUGGAGCAGCAAACAAGCAAACUUUGAGAAUUAUACAGAAAAGGAAAAUUUGGGCACAAUCCCAGAAGUUAUAUUUUCCCUUUGCCCGUCAUUUCAUGAAAAAACCAAAUUGUUUAGUCUAAAAGGCCCUUUGGAAAAAGAAAUUAGGGUAAGAGUUGCACUUGUCCAUAAAACAUUGCCCUGUAGUUUGCAAUGAACCAGCAAGUUUCUCUAAGCGAGUAACCUUGUCCUUUCACAUGAAUGUUAUAAUCAACCUUCUUUCAUGAUCUAUUUGAUAACUAUACAUCUAUCUUUUUGUUUUUGUUUGGAAUAGGGUCUCGCAGGUUCUCUUCGCUCCAGGUUAGAGCCUCUUCUUCAGAAGAAACAUCUUUAAAUACUGAAGAGCUAUUCACUGACUUGAAGGCGAAGGUGAGAGCAUCAAACCUGGCACUGUUGUGAGGCAAAUCGCCUUUUUUUUGGCCUCUCAAUUUCUAAGCGACUAGUUCUAGAUUAAGCCUUUUGUUACUAAUAGAGCUUCUUUCCAUCAAGUAAAAUCGUCAUUUAGCUCAAAGAAUUUCCUUCUGUUAUCAACAGUGGGAUGCGCUUGAGAACAAAUCCACUGUAUUUCUCUAUGGAGGCGGUGCAAUAGUUGCAGUUUGGCUGUCCUCAGUUGUUGUUGGUGCCGUCAACUCCGUUCCAUUGGUGGGUGGUUUGAUUAAGGAAAAAAUCCAAGCUUCCCUUUCUUCAAUUUGACUAAAUAAAAAACGAUGAAUGUUGACUCCUUGAUUAACCUAGCAGGAUAGGUUUUCUUUGGCAACAUAUGAUAUUGUUUUCUUUUGAUAUUCCCCUGAACCAAUCUGAAGUAUUCCUCUCCCUUUAUCCUUUUCCUGAAUAUUACCAGCUUCCGAAGAUCAUGGAGUUGGUAGGACUUGGAUAUACAGCAUGGUUCGUGUACCGAUACAUUCUCUUCAAGGUAAAAACUAAAACAUUGGCAUGCUUCAGAUCGAAUUUACUUUCUCUACCAAAUAUUUUCCAGGUGAUCUGAUAAUAGGAGAGAUGUAAUGGCCUAAUGAAGACUGUAAUCAAAGGAGUUUGAACUAACACUGAUUAGAGAUCAUAAGAGCCGAUUAAAAUAUAUCUGAACCUGAGAUUAUCAUGAUAUCAAUCUUGAUUUUGGUUGAACUAAAAAACCUUUUUGAGUCUUCUCCAAAGUAUACUUCUACUUGCAAAUUAUACUUUGUUGGCUAACAUGUUCACACUUGGUGGGGUUUUUGUUGUCACUUUUCAGUCAAACAGAAAAGAGCUGGCCACGGACAUUGAAGCACUGAAGAAGAAGGUGACGGGAGCUGAAUAGAUCAAUAUGAUCAAAUGCUGAGUUUAUCCUUACAUUUAGUCUCAACCCAUUGGUUUAAAUUGGUUCUUUUCUGUAUCUUAUGUAAAAGGGCCAUCCAAGCUCUCCUCUCCUCUGCAAUGUAGACUAGUUUUGCUGCUUUUGCAUGCUUUCUUGUCACUCCUGGAUCUCCCCGGGCUCAUCCUUGCAAUAAAAUUUGCCAAUUUUCUUGUUUGCUUUUGUGAUUGUUAUCGAUGAGAAAGUGUUCGAUGCCUCAUCACCUCUGUUUUAUCGCAGUCGAUGGUUGAUCCGGUACAAUUUUUCGUUUGUUACCCUUAUGAUAUCGUGUAUAUAAAAGCAUACUUUUCUCUAUAAUUUUUUGUCACCUUUGCAUGACGUGUCAUGUCAAGGAUUUUUUUUUUUUACAAGAGUACGACAAUUUUAAAAAAUAAUUCAUAAAUUAUCGUAGUAGGAAAAAUAAUUAUAAUUUUGUCGAGAUAGGGAAGAGAGAAUAAUUUAGAAGUGAAAAAUCGACGAUUUAUGAACUUUUAAAAAAAUUAUAAAAAAAUUGUUUUUUGAAGACACGAUUUUUAAAAUUUCAUUUUUUAUAUGAGAAAUCGUCUUUUUAAAAGACAAUUUUCAUAAAAAAUAAAAUAAAUUAAGAAGUGAGAAAUCAUCUCUUGAAGAGACGAUUUCAAAAAAAAAAAAGUUGAGUGAAAAAUCGUCUUUUAAAGAGAUGAUUUUCACAAAUAUAUAUAUAUAUAUAUAUAUAAAAUUCUUACUUUAAACAAAAAAACCAAGAAGGAAAUCGUAUUUCAAAAGAGACAAUUUUCUACAUCACAAAAGUGAGAAAUUCUUACUUAAAAUAAAAUAAUAAUAAAAAAAAAGAAAAAAAUCCAAGUGGGAAAUCAUCAAAUUAUAAGUGAAAAAUAAUUCCUCACUUGGGUUUUAUUUAUUUAUUUAUUUUUAUUUUUAUUUUAUUUUAAGUGAGAAUUUCUCACUUUUGUAGUGUGGAAAUCGUUUCUUGAACUUGAUUUUUUUUUUUUGUGAAAAUCGUUUCUUCAAGAGAUGAUUUCUCAUUUUUUAAUUUUUGAAAUAAUCCUUUUAAGAACGAUUUCUCAUAUAAGAAAAAUGAAAUUUUAGAAAUCGUGUCUUGAAAAUAUGAUUUUUUAUAAUUUUUUCAAAAGUUCAUAAAUCGUUUUUUAAAGAUAUGUUUUUUCAUUUACAAUUUCUUUUCUCUUUUUUAUAUGGAUAAAACUAAAAUAUAUUUGAAAUUAUUUUUCUUAUUGCGAUAAUUUAAAAAUUAUUUUUUAAAAUUAUUGUACUCUUAUAAAAAAUCCAUACCAUCAACAUGGUAAAAUUUGAAAGUAGUAGAAGUUUUAUUCCAAAAUAAAAUUUAUAUAAAAAUGAAUUGAUAUUAAAUUAUAAUUAAAUAUAUUUAAGUUUUAAGUUUAAAUAAAAAUAUAUGCCAAGGCCCACUCGAAUAGAGCUCUUUCUUAUGCUCUAUGUAUCAAGAUGAUUCAAAUUUAAAAAUUUUACUAAUUUUAUUUUAAUUAUUGUAAUUUUUCAAAAAUGCUUUUUAGUCAAUUAUUUAGAAAUAAUUAUCAUAAAAUGAUUUUUAGAGUAAGGAAUAAGGAUUAUUUUUACUGUGGCUGAAAAUAUAUAUAUAAAUAUGAAAAAGUGAAAAUAGGGGGAGAGGGAAACCCUAGACUGUUGUUCAGCUGCUGUCACUACUCCGGUAACUCUCGAUUUUCUUCUCUUUGCAGUAGAUUGUUUGGUUGCCGAGAAAAUGAGGAAAAGUGAAAAAGAAGCGGGAUUCUUAUUCUUAUUCUUCGUUUUCUGAAUUAUACCCCAAUGAGGGGUUUUAUCCCAUGUUAAAAAACGUCUGUUUCUCAGCAACCAAGCAGAUUCUUACUAGUUUGAUUUUUGUCUUUCGGAUUUACCCAGUCAAGGGUUUCGGUUUUCUUCGUUCCCAAGUAAUGCGAAAAUUCAGAUUCAAAACUUUUCUCUUCCAAUUUCUCGAAUUUCUCAGCAGCCAAACAAGAACGUUGCUUGUUUUGAUUUUCUUUUCUGAAUUCCUCAACGCUACCCAGCAAGGGUAUUUUUUUUCGCCGUUCCGAAGUAUUGCAAAACCCCAUAAUCAUUCCUGCAGUCUCUUUAAUUUUUCCGCACUUCCUCAGCAGCCAAAGCAGACUGUUAAGAUUUUGAUUUUUUUUUUCAUUUUUUUCAGUAAUUGCACACUUUAAGAGGCAAGAUAGUGGUGUAAAAGAUGAUCCGAAUCAGUGGCAUUGCGAAAUCGAAAUCUUGCUUAUCCCAUCAAUUCAUACAAAAAUGCUUUGUAAGUCGAACUGCAAAAGGUAAAGGCAAAAUGAAAGAUGGGCAGCCGUUGAAGCGAUCGAAAAUAACAAAGAAGAAAGGCCCUGUUGAUGCUGCUGCGGCUGACCGAGGUCCCAGGAAUGAAGCCAAGGUGAAAAUGGAGCAACUGGAGAAUGCUUGCCUGACUGCUCCAACGCCAAUCCGAUAUCUGACUCCGAAACAGAAGAAGAGGGAGGAGGAGAGAGAGAAAAUGGGACUUACUAGCAAUGCAAGAAGAGUGGAGCUCGAGAUGUUGAAGAAAAAUAAGUCCAAGAAAAGUGAACUCGACUCCCCGAUGAUAAUUGGGACUCCGGGUUUGGAUUUGAUAUCCCUAGGGCUGGUAGAUGCAGAGAGUAUUCCUAAAUAUGAAUUGACUGUUGAAGAUGGUCGUCGGCUAGCUAAAGAGUACAGUAGGGUUUUAAUGAGGCGGCACCGGGCUAGGCAGGCAGCAGAGAGUACAAUAUUGAGGUUGAAGAAGGAAGCCAUCGAGGCAUUGCCCGAGAAUCUGAAGGCUGCAGCAUUGGUACCAGAUUUGACUCCAUUUCCAGCAAACAGGUUUAUGGCUACUUUGACACCUCCAAUUGAAGGGUACAUCGAGAAGGUUAUGGAGGCCGCAAAGAGAAGCAUUACCAAGGAGAAGCUCAGAUGAUCAGAGGUUAGUGUUCAUUUUCCUUAUUGUUUUUUACUUCCUGCAUUGAUAUUUUGAGUUUUUUGAGCGAUUAAUUGGUUUUCCGAUGUUGUAUGGAUGAUUAAGAGCUUUGUCUCCAAUGGAGAAACUCACAUUGAAUCUAAUUGCUCACUGGACAGUGGACACCACUGAUCCUAAAAAGACACCACUUAUUUUAACACUCAAAAUGAUAUUUAUGCAAAAAAUUUAUGCUGUGGUUCCCUCAUGCUGGUCUAAUAAAAGUUUUCAAAAUUUGAUGUUAUGCUCCAUAUGGGUUUUAAGAAUAAUGGAGGAAGAAACAAAACUUUUUCUCUUAUCAAAAGCACCCCAUUUCAAAUGUCAAACGUAUUCUAAUGAACAAAAAAUUGUUUUAAAAAAUGUUUCCAAAAAAGGGCCUAAAAUUUUAGACCAUUUUUUCAUAAUUAAACUGUGCUUGGGUCAGAUACUUUUUAUGUAACUGUUUAGGCUAAAUCAUUUUUCAGUGAGGCAGUGAAGAAUUUGUGAUUCCUAUAUUAGUUAAACAUGGUUAACAGUGAUUGAGUGUUUUACUCGUUCCAUGGAUUUAUUGCUAUUUGCCCAUGCUUAGUCAGGUUUGAUUUUGUAAUUGCAAGGACCGUAAAGGGUUUGUAGCUGUGAUCACUAAAUUUCUUUACAUACAUUUUUGAGUUGCAUCCUAACCCUAUGCUCUAGGAUAAAUAAGCUGUGAUAUUUUACCAAAUGAUUGCUUGGAUGGUUGCUCUCAUUUCUUAUUCAAAUUCUUCAAGUUCAAUAUUACAGCUACAUAAAACUUGUGUUUGAUUCUCAUAGAGAUUUUGCUCGUAGGCUUCAGAAAAGGUCUCUCUGAGUAAUUCUCAUCUUGUCAAUCUGAUUAAACAUAAUAUCUUGAUGAGGUCCAGCCCGCUUAUUCUUCAUUUUAUUUAUUUUUUGUUUUGUCAAAAGGAAUUCACUCUGCCAGUGAGAAAGGGGGUUCAUUGUCAGAGGGCACUGCCAUUGAUUAUUCUCAAAAUGCAAAUUCUUGUAAAUAUAAUUAGUACAUCAUAUACCUGCCAGGGUAGCCAAGUUGGUCAAGGUGAAUACUAGGAAGUGUGGUCCUAGUAAAUGGCACAUGGUCCUGGGUUCGAAUCCUGUCACUGAUAAUUCUCCGAAUUUACCUUGUACUGGUUGUUGUGGGGCAGUCAGCACCCUGAGGUUUGGGUCCCCAUGGAGAGUCUUAAGUACAUCAUAUCUUAGUUGAUCUUCCAUUAACCUCCCUCUGUUAUGACCAAUUCCUUAUUCUUAUCCAGUUCUGAGUACACUCGACUGCCUUCUUAUGUUCUCAUCUUCUCUUGCAAAUUUUUUACGGCUCCAUGUCUUCAUAGGUUGCUUGUGCUUUUUUUGAACACAAAAUUGAGGCUAGAGAAACAAAUACUCUUCCUGCACAUCCCACAUCAUCCAAGGAAAAUAGGAUCUGUAGAAUAAUUUUUUUUUGAUAGGCAUCUAUGAACAGUGCCUAGAAAUUGGGCAGAGACCAAUGUCUGAUGUAUCUAAUAGGUGCAAAAAGGAACCAAUGUCUGUAAUUGAUUUUGUUGAUUGGUUGAGUUCUCAUUGAGGAAGAGAGUAGUAUUUUGUAGUUCCCUCUUAUUUUGGUUGUGCCUUUUGGCAAUUGCUAUACAUGUCUUCUGUACUUUGGUGUGCUCUUUUAUGAUGCUUUUUAUAUAUUAUACUCACUUUAUUUACCUAUCAAGAAAAGGAAAAAUUGGAGAAGAUUGUUUUAGAUUAUUAAAAAAUAGAGUUGGAUGAUGAUACUGUGAUGUGGGAUCUUAAAAAAUUCAAGCAUUAUAGAAGUUAUUUCUUUGUUCUAUAAUGCUAUGAUAGGUCAAAGAAAGCAAAAGAAAAGAAAAAAAAGAAAAAGAAAAGAUAGAUCCUUUAGCAAUCACACCAAGGUUCUAGGUAAUCACAUCCUCAAAGAUGCUAAAAACUUUUAUUAGAAAUUUGAUUUUUUUCAACUUUGAAAGACUAUAUAGGUGUAUAUUAUAGUAGACCAUUGUGAUUCUUUUCCCUAAAACUUCUCUAAUUCCUUAUCUUUUCUUGCAAGAAUGAGAAAAGAUAUAGGAAUGAGUAUUCUUUAGAAGCUAAAAGACAAUCUUAAUAUAAAAAGAAGACUAAACGAAUUAGAGACUUGAUAAAAAAGUAAAUCACUAAUUAAAAUAAAAUCUUAAUAAACUAAAGUAGAAACUUAACAAAAGACUCAAGCUUAACCUAAACCAACUAUGGUAAGUCUUAAGAGGAACUUAAAUCAUCAUUGGCAUCCCAAAUUAAGGGCUGGGCAUUGGAACUAGCUUUUCUCUUUCUCUUCUUGUUAGUUGAAAAUUUUCAAAGUAUAUUUAUUUUUUGAUUGGCAAAUCUUCAAGGUGUAUUUUCAAUGUUGGUCCCUUUCUCAGGAGGUCCUUGAAGAAUAUAUUUGAGCUUAGUUUCUUAUCAGUUUCAAACAAAAAACGUGUGUGCAUUCACGAUGUAGGAUUUAUUGGUAGAUCAUGUGAAAGAUAAUUUUGUAAGAGGAAUCAUGUCUUACCAAAGCUUGAGAAAUUGAACUUGAAGAGAAACUUAAAACCCAUCUAUAUAAUUCGAAUUGUUUUUCUUGAUCACUACAACAAAUAUGAUGUAGAUACUUGCAUCAACAUCCCAUCCAUUACAAUUAGUAAAAAUAAACUAAAAGUAUAUUACAAAAAUCACAUUAUACUUUAAUCUGCAUCUCAAUUUAAUCCAUGAACUUUUUGCAAUAACGUCUAUCUCAAAUUAUACCCAAAUGUCAAAUAGGCUCUUUUGUUAAGAUUUUCUGUCAAUAAAUAGAUGGAGAAAUCCUUGUAACAAGAAUAUACAUGUUGGCAUGAGUUUUUAUAUAAUAUAUUUAAAUAUAUCAAAUUUGUUAAUGAGUUUGUUCAUCUAUUUUGAUUGAAAAUCUUAAUAAAAGGACCUAUUUGACAUUUGGUUAUAAUUUGGAAUUGACGUUAUUGCAAAAAGUUCAUGGGUUAAAGUAUAAGGUUUUAGUUGGAGAAAAUGCUUGAGGCAGCAUAAAACUUAAAGAAGAAGAAUUGCGAUUUUUUAUUUUUGAUAGGUAAAGAAAGCUCCUUACUAAGUAUAUGGAUGAAAAAGAAUUUGUCCAUCGAAAAAAAAGAUGAAAAAGAUUUUGAUAGGGGAGGAAAAAUUGUAAUGCAUGAAAUUGUGAUUAAAUUAUUUGAAGAUGCAACCGCUGCUCCAAGCACAUGGGUGAAAAGAAUUUUGACAGUGUAGGGAAAGAUUGUGGUUCAUGUGGUGAUUAAAUUUUGAAUACUGUCACAUGCAAUGAGAAAAAAAACUGAGACUUGGACUUGGUGUUCUGAGAUUAUAGUCUCUAACAGAAAAGCUAUCUGAGAAGUAGGCUUCUUUAUUGGUAACAUGUAUUAUGCUAUGGAAUCCUUCAUCGCCAACAGCUGAUGUGGGGUAAUUUUGAGAACCCAAAACUUGUUUGAUACUGUUAUUUCCACUGAGAGAACAUUCAAGUUUGUGUAUACUUUUAAUCCUUUUUGGUUUCAUUUUGAUGUGGUCUCUUAUGUUGUGGUGCAGAUGUGGCUAUUUUACUCUGAGUUGUUGGGAGUGACCAUGGUGGAUGCAGAAGUUGGAAGUCCCUCAUAUUUAUGGGGUUGAGGGAAAGCAGUGAAGCAUCCAGCAGCUCUUGAAAUGCAAUGCAAUAAAUUGUUUCGGGGUUCUAAAUUGGAACUGUUAGCGUUGGUUUUUAUUUUUUUAGAUAUUUGAACUUCAACUGAACCCAUAAAUACAUGACAAAACAUGCUUUGGUUUUUUCAGGCCACACUCUCUCUCCUUUUGAUGUGUCAAUGGUCUAAAAAUUUCAAUUUUCUUUGUUUCCCUUGGCUUUCGUAGCAGCCAAACAGAGGGAUAACUAAUUCGUCUUUCACGCUACUGUAAACCAAAAAAAUGCAAUUCGUCAUCAAAUUCUUGAUGAUAUGAGAAAAAGAGGAGAUAGAAUUGAAACAACACAAACAGGAACAUCAAAAUCAUGAAAGGUUAAUUUUAAAGGAAGUUCACUAUUAUUGCAUAGAAGUCACCAUAUUAAUAUAUAAAGCCGAAAUUACCCACACCGUAACCCUAACAUUCAGUAUUACAAGCAAUCCUCAAGACCGCAAUAUUCCGUCCAUCAGGUAUCCAAAAAGUGAAAAAAGAAAGAGAAAAAAAACCCUCGCCGAUAUACGGAGAGAGUGAGCGAAUAAAAAACCCUAGAUCGGCAUCUAGAUUUUGUCGAUGUCCUCGUCCUCGAACUCGAUGUAAUCGUCGCCCGCGCCUUCGUCCUCCUCGUCGAGGCCGCCGGCGAUACCCUCGUUGAGCCUGGUGUUCUCCGGAAGCUCACCAUACGCCUUCAGAAGACGAGCCUCGUCGGGCAUGUACUUGAGGAUGACGUCAGCCUUGUCGUCCUGGUAAUCACGAAGACCGACUAGGAUGAUGUCGCCGGCGGCGAUCCAGACCUUCUUGUGCAUCUUGCCUCGGAUGUGGCAGAGGCGCUUGGUGCCAUCGAUGCACAUGGCCUCACAGCGGCCGUUGCCGAGCAUACGGAGCACCUGAGCGUACUCCUGGCCGUCUUCCUUGAAGACAAGCUCCCGUUUCUCAUCGUCGGCCUCGUUCUUUCCUCUCUUCCUGUUCUUACCUCCCUUUCCCUUGUUCUUCGGCAUCCUUCUCUCCCGGAAACCCUAACCCUAGAUUUCUUUCGAUUUCUGUUUUCGCAGACCCUAAGCUCUCGAUCUUCAAAAUCUUUGGGUAACGUUUUGAAACGAGUCAAAGAGCGGAUCUCUGGGUCUUAUAUAUAUAGGAUGGCGUUGGGCUCACGCAUUUGUGGAUUUAGGAUGGGUUUACUUGUGGCGGUGCGGCUGACAACAGAACUCUUAAAACGGUGUCGUUUCAUGAUGUAGAAAUAACCUACUUUUUUUGAUGCCUUGCCAGGCAAGUUUUUGGAUUUAAUGUAAAUUUUUUUGAACAUAUUCCAUUUUUUUAAAGGAGAAAAAAAAAAAAAAGAAAAGGAAAGAAAGGGAAAGCACACCUUAGUUUCUCAAUCCAAUAUGAUGUAAAAACUUUCAAAAUAUUUUUUUAUAUUUUUAAUUAUUAUUUAAAUAUUCUAUAAAAAUAUAAUUAUUAAUAUUAAAAAAAAACAACUUAUUUUUAGAAUAAAUUUCAACAAUUUUGUUAUUUUUUUUCUUUAAAUUAGAAGAUUUUUUUUUCUCUCUCUAAAAAGUAAUUAAAAAAAAUGUCUUACCUUUUUUAAAGAUAAUUAAAACCCCAAAAGUCUUAAUCUCAAAGCUCAUUUUUGGUUAAAAACUUUUAAUAGUUUAGAGACUGCCUUUAUCUAAUAAAGAUAUUAUUAACGUAUUUUAUUUAAUUGAAAUUUUUUACUAAUUAGAUGCAAUAUAUUUCAUCGGGUCUUAUUAGUUUCAAAACGACUUUGGACUUUAACAAAUUCAAAUUCACAUCAAAUUCAAAUUCGGGUUAUUUGAAACUUUAAAAUUUAAGGUAGAUAUUUAUUUAUGAUUGAUAAAACUUUAAAAAUGAUUAAUACAAGAAAUUACAAAGAUAAUGCUUUAUAUUUCAUAAUUUGAUUUCUAUUAUAUUUCUAAUUCAAAAAAUUGGCUUCGAUAAGUUUUAGAAUUGUGUUUAUUUGCUCUUUUGUUUUUAUAAAAAUUUUGCAAUAUGUUUUAAAACUAAGUUGAUCUCUAAAUUUGCAUUUGAUUCUAAAAUAAAAUAAAAUUUUUUAAAUAGAGAUAUUUUAUUUAAUAAAAAAGAUAAGACUUUUAUGAAUCCAAAGACAACAUAAUGUGGAGUAGGAAAAGGAUUAGUAGAUUAUUAGACCAUUCACGGUUUUUAACACCAAAUACGAUGUUCAUUACUACGUUUAAUUUUACUUAUAUUAAAAUUUAUAAUAAAGUAUUAAUUUGAGAAUUAAUUUAAAGACCACUUAUUCAACCCUUCAUACUUUCAUUAUAUUAAGAUUAACCACAAAAUUUCUUUUAGAUAUUUUUAAGAAAAAAAAUUGUAAUAUUUGAAAAAAAAAAUGUAUUUUGAUAUACAUAUAUUUGAAAGAAAAAAAUUAAAUUUAUCAAAAUCUAAUAAAUUUAUUUACUAAGAGAGAGAUUAUUUUUAAUCACUUGAAUUAAUUUUACGCGGUUCUACCAUUCUUUUUAUCUAAUUUUUUUCAAAUGUCUGCAGCAAAACACAAUCUUCCCAUUUUAAAAAUAGGUUAUCUAAAGUAAAAUCCAAUGGAAAGUUCGAACUACAAUCCAAGCCAAAAACUGGCUAAGAAUAGACGCAAGAGAGAGCAGUAGAUUGACUUGUAUAAUUUUCAAAUUAAGUUCUUUUUUAACUGAACCAGUUCAGAAGAACAGAAACAACCACCACCACCCAACAACAAAACACAAAACCAUCACUCACCCCUAAGUCCCUAACACAACCCCAACUCCUCCCCCUCCGGCACUCCACUACUCUCCCUCUCUCCUCUCCUCUCCCAUUUACACUUUCCUCCAUUUCCAUCCUGGACCUCAGUUUAGGCCUGGAACAGAAGCAACAUCUUAUAUGAUACAUCCACUACCACUUCAAUCAAGCCAAGGGCAGAAAAGGGGAGAUCAGCCUGAAAUGCUUUGAGGGCAGAGAUUCAGGGGGGAUGUGUAUUAGUGUCUGAUGGUAAGCUCGGCCCUGAGAUGGAGGAUACCGUUGAUGAAGUAUAGACUGUCUUCAGCCACAAAGGAGGUCCAUGGUAUGGCAAAUAAGUUUCGGUACCCAACUGCCUUGCCUCCUGUGAAUGUGUAGUUUCCUUUGUAUUUGCUGAUGUACUCCUCUGUUGGUUUUGACCUUGCUGCAAACUCGUAGUCUACGGCGAAAGUCACUGAACCCUUUUCUUGCAUUCCCAGAAACAGGCCAAAGCAAUGGAUAGAGCUCUGCUGGUCCAUGUUGCAGUGUGCUGAGAGGAAGAAGCCUUGUCCCCCCAAGUGGAAUGCCUGAGAAUAUACCCGUCCGGAUGGGAAUAGAUUUAUGCACUCCUCCCGCUUUAGAUCCAGGUAAACAACACAUUGCUGUCGAGGAAGUUCAAACUCCACAACCUUGACUGGACGAUACUUGUAGGCCCGCUCCACGAAGCGACGGUUGGUGAGGGCGGAGUCCUCUGCAGCCAGGCUUCGCUGCCGAUGAGGGGCCUCAGCCUUGAAAAAUAGAGCCUCCAGCACAGCCUUGGAUGCAAGGUCGUGAUCAAAGUCAUUGCAGGUUAGAACCUUCUUAAGCUUCCUGCAGGUCAUAUAGGGGAAGCGGAUGAAGCGGCCCAGGCGUGUACCAAGGAUUUCACGCCGCUCCUCCAAUUUUGGGUACUGAGCCCUGGCCCACUUCAACACAAAAUCAUACACUGCAUCCUCUGAUGCAACCUGGAGAUCAUCACUGGACAAAACUGCCUCAAUCCCAGCAAGGGGCAAGGCCAUCACCUCUUCUUGAAACCUGGUUUUAAAUGAAAAAAGAAAACGAAAUCAUGAAUCAGCCUCCAAACACUAUCAUCCCCACGGAUGUUAAGGACUGUUUUCCAGAUGAAUUUUGCUUCUUUUUUCACACUUUGUUCUUCUAAAUGCAUAUCAAUUCACCAUAUUUUGGUCCUCCUGACUUUUUAGUUUUUAGUGCAACAACCAACUCAGGCAAUGAAGAUGCCCAUUCAUUAAGAGGGUAAGGAAAAGGAAACGUUGUGAAAGGGUUUCCAAAUAUCAAGUCAGUGAAUAGACUAUACUAUGUGUGAAAGAAGCUUACUUGGUUAUGUCCUUGUAACGACCAGCAAGGUACUGCUUGGCUGCAUCUGUUAAAGGCUGAACUGCCUCGGCCAUUAAGACACUAGAAGGAAGCUCUAGAUAGAGCAAUGCAGAUUCAGGCGUCAUGGAUAAGUUCCUUAAGAGUCUGCUGCAGUGCCUCAUACAUGAAGCAACCUCAAAUUUAUCAGCAGCCAUCAGCACAUCCAGCAAACCAGGAGCUGUACUUGUGGAUAGGGUAUUGCUAUACAUGAAAUUCAAGAGCUCCAUGAGAGCAGCUUCCUCUGUAUCAAUGAGUAAAAAUGAUAAACGGUUGGAAAGGUGGGUUUAAACCCAAACUGAAAAAUUGCUGAAACAAAACACAUAUUUCAAUGGAACAAUUGGAAUACAUGAAUGAAAUUUACUACCAAAAAAAAAAAAAAAAAAAACCACAACUUGCAUGCAGACAAAUCUAAACCAAUUUCAUAUGGCAAUACAACUACAACUGACUAGUGAUGGUUAAAAAUGAGCACCCAUCAUUGAGCAAAAGAUCACCAAACCAAUAAUUUACAAUUUCCAUAAAGUGAACCGACUCAGAAAGUAGAAAGAGGUGAUAACUGUGCAUACCAGAGGCGUUAAUUCGUAAAGUUACAUGCCUCUGCUCUGACUCCCUCAUCCCAUUUGAGAAGAGCUGAAGAUGGAAAGGAAGAAAAGUAAACAUCAUCCAGCAAUUUAAGCAAGUAAUAGAAUGAGAUCAACUUCCAUUAUAAUAGCGAUCUUUACCUUAUAGAAAAAUGGACUUUUUGCAGCUAAAAUAGGAGAGCUAAUGUGUAGAGUUUUAAUUCUCACAACUGUAGAACAAUCCAUGUUCCAGGCUGAAUUAUUGCCAACUUCAGCUUCAUCACCUACAAAAGUAGAGCAGGCUUGAAAAUUUUCUAGUAACAGAUGGAAAUAUGGAGCCCGAGAGUUAACAGUUGCAGCCCUUAGAUUGAAAAAAAGUCACCCUUGUUACAAGAGCCAAGAGUUACAACUUUACUGUGCACCUUAAAUUAUUCCAAUACCUGAUGCAGAUUCUUCAAUCAUCGCAACUGCUUCCUCGUCUUCAUUUUCACAGGCCACAACAUCAUCCACGUCAGGCUGGUUACAAUUUAAAAUCUGUUCCUCAGGACAAGCAACAAUAUCUGCACCUAAAACAGAUAGUAAAUAUUGAUUAACAUCAAUUUAAAUACAUAUAUAAGCAUAUAAGGUAAUUAACUUCUGAAAUAUGCAUGAUAGAAGCAUAUUAUUAUAAAGCAUUAAACUUAUUAUGCAACGAAACAAUAACAGAGUGAGGCACUGCCACCCAGGAUCCAUUGUUAGCUCUCUACCCUCUAUAUAAUGCUCUACAAGAGUUUAUGGGAAACACAUGCAUCAACAUGCAGCAUCACAUCACUGCCUAUUCUGCUAUUAACCAUGAUUAUAUUUAAUUUAAGGGGUCAAAUAACACGAACUGAUCCCGUCUGUAAGCACACACAACGAUCAUGCUAAGAGAGAGAGAAGGAGAGAGAUCUGUUAUUUCAGACUCACACAAUUUGAAUUUGCUUCUCUCUACAUUGAUUCAUUCCAAAUUGUCCAUUAUGAGGACAAGCCAACAUGACACCCAUUACUUCCACAAAAAUAACAUCAUGACAGCCUGACAGUGAGCUAUACAAUGGGAGAAACUAACUUGGGACAUCCUCAAAUCCGAAUGAAAAGAGGUAAUGACAAAGCCACAAGAAAAAUGAAAGGAAAACCAGGGAUUCUUAAUGCUGUUUUAGGAAAAAACAAUAUAGAACUCAUAGGGCAUGGAACUUUCUCCUCCAAAGUCAAGACACUCAUUCUAUGAGAAAAAGUUUCUCCUCAAGCAAGAUCUUUAAUAUGUACCUCAACCCGUGACAAAAUUUGGGCUUGCAUAAUAUUUUACCAUCUCAUAGAUAUUAAUUUUUGACAUGCAAAUUGAUAUGUAAAACCCAAGUCAAAAUUAUGUAACAAGCACUAUAUGAAGAGAAUUUACACUCCAUCUAGUUGUUAUACACAAGAAACCGUUUGAAACCUCACUCUACAAAUUAAUAUCCAAAGCAAUAUUUUAAGUCUAAGGAAGGAACAUGUACAGUAAAGUUUUUCCUGUUAAAACAAAGGAUUGAAUAUUGAACUUGAAAAAAAAUAAAUUCAAAUAACACUAAAAUACUCUGUUUGGUAUCUGAGAAACUAAAAGAAGAGAAAAGUGAAAUAGAAACUCUCUUAAUCAUAAUUUGUGUUGCUUUGGGGCCAAAAAUGUAUAAGUCAAUUCCUUGUGCAACUGUUCAUUUUGUUAGGCACCAUCUAAAAGAAAGAUUUGCCACAAGUACAACUCAAAUUAUUUUCCUUUUUGACUAUAACACAGCUUAAUUUCAUUUUCCAAGAUACCUACCAGUCAAGUUUUCAAGUUUUUCUUCUUUUCCUCAGCUAUGUCAACAGCCAAAGAGAGGGCAUACAAUUCCAUUGAAGGCUAUUUUUCGGUUGAAUUGAGAUGAUUAUUUUUUGCCAUCCAAAAAAGGUCCUAAAUUCAUUUUCUUUUCCCUCCUGUGCUUUCCCAACAACCUAACGGAGGCGAUGGAAAAUAAAGAGAAAAACGCAAAUCGAUCUAAGAUCAAGAAUGAAAUUUGAUAAUUAGAUGGCUUGGUCUCAUUUCCCAAAAUACCGAAAAAGUCAAAAUUUCAGUCCUCUUUUCUUUUCCCAACCUUUUCGGCAGCCAAAUAGUGGGCAUACAAACCCAACCAACGACUAGUUAGCUUGAUAGAAAAAAAGGAAAAAAAAAAAAAAAAACCUAGAAAAACAAACUAAUUAUCCUCUAAAAUUUAUUUUCUUCCCCGUUUCUCUCUGCUCUUCCAGCAACCGAAGAGGGGGUACGAAAAUUAUUUUGAAAAGAAACCACAUACCAUAUCUCAGAAAAUCCAUGAAAUUGGAGAUUACUUAGCUUAGUUUCAGUUUCCAAAAGACCUAAUAAGUCAAAAUUUCAGUUUUCUUUUCUUUUCCCCAGAUUUCCCGGCAGCCAAAAAGAAAUUAUCGACCUAAUUUUCAUUUUCCCCCACUAAACCAAAAGAAAAGAAAUUCACCGAAAUUAAUUUUUCUUUCCCCCUGUCCUCUGCUUUCCGGGAAACCAAACAGAGGCAAAAAGAAAAAAAGAAAAAACACACAAACCGUUCUCCUUCUUGAUAUCUUCUCUCCUCCUCUUACGGUGCCUAGCCCAAUCAGCGAUGCUCGUGCAUCCCUCACCUUCAGACCUCGAAUCCUGCGACCCCGCCAUGAUCUCGAUCCGCAGAACCCGAUCGGAGAAGUUACUGUCAUUGAAGGCGAAUCCGAAAUCGCAAGACGAAACCGUGGGUGUGGAUCCCGGUGAGGAAUCGGAGUCCAUGGCCGUUCUCGGGUCGAACAGAUCCGUGUUGGAAUCUCUCAUCUGGGGUGUCUUCUCUCUCUUCUCUUCUAUCCUCUUCCCUCUCCUCCACAGAGUCGAAGAUGGAAGAUGGAAGAUUGAAGAUGGAGGAGAAAAACCCUAGUGUCGAUGAAACGACGUCGUUUAGCUGGAGAUGAAUCGGGUUCGAAUUCCAACGACUGACAAAAUAUAUAUUUAUAUUGAAAUCGACACGGAAAAGUCCUCUCCUGUGAGCGGCCUACCUUCCGUGUAAAUGAACUUGUUAUUCUUACAAAUUUUAGCACGUGGCAUCAUUUUAUUGGUCCAUCACUGGCAAAAAUUUUUAAUUUUUUUUAUAUAAAUAUGUAGUAAAUCAAAUAUUAAGAGAAUUUCUUUAUCUUUAUUUGUUCAUUAUUUAUUAUAUUACAUUUUCUAAUUAAAUUUUCCAUUUUUGGAAAGAUGAGUUUACAAAAAUGAAAAAAGUGAACACUAAUUUGGUAUUUUCAAAAUUUUCUUUAAUAAAAUGAUAUAUUUAAUAUUAGAAUAAUUUAUUUAAUUAAUCACAAAUAUAUUAGAGUUUGAUCGUAUGAUUUAAAAAUGGUUUUUUUUAUUUAUUUUUAAAAUUUUUAAUGUUGUUUAGUCAUCAUUCUCUAAAAAUAAUUUUUAAAAGCAAAGUGAAAUAGAAAUAAUUUUUUAAAAAUAAGAAUAAAUUGUUUUCACCAAUUCUUUAAAAUAAAAGGAAAAUAUAUACCUCUUUGAUCAUGACUUUUAAAUCUUAUUUUUGAAAAACUAUUUUUAACUUAAAAAAUAAAAAACAGUUACUAAAAACAAGUUUUCCAAGUCAUCAUUAUUUUGAAUUAACAUGAUAUUGACUUUUUAGACUUGACCUAUUCAAAUUUAGUUAAUAUUAGGAUUAUCAAAAGACAAUGACCUAAAAACUUAAUAAAUAAAAGUGAAAGAACCCGAAUUUAAAAAUUAAUUUCAAAAAAUAUUUUCUAAAAACUAAUUAUUUUUAAUAAAUUCUAGAAUUGCCGUGACUUAGGGAUUAAAAGAGAUGUCAAUAGCCCAUGUAAGGGUUUUGACAUUUAAAUUACUACUUUGACAAUUGAAAUUAAAAUUUUAUUACCCAAGUUUAAAUUUAUUUCUAGAAAUAAAAUAUUUUUAUACAAUUUUGUUUUUAAAAAAUAUAAAUGCUUUAUUUUCAUGGUCAAAACUGAAAUCAUUUUGGUUUUUAUUAUUACAUAAAUCCUAAGAAUUGCCGGUCAAUUCGGGAGUCAACAAAAGUCAAUAGCCCAUGUUAGGGUUUUGAAAUAUAAACUGAUACUUCGAUUAAAAAAAAUAAAAAAAAAUCCUAUAUAUAUAGGAUGAAAAUAGAAAAAUAAAGGAAAAAAAAUAUAAGGAAAGAAAAAGUGAAAAAAUAAAUUCAAAAGGAAUUAAUUAUUUUUAUAAAAUACAUAAAAUUUUAAUUAUAUUUAUUUAAUAGUAAUGAAAUUAAACAGAAACCAUUUUUCUUAUUAUUUUUUUAAAUUAAUUGAUUAAAACAGAUGGAAAUAGCCAAAAUUUGUAAAAUUAAUAUCCCAUAUUUUUUAACUUAUUUUUUUUUUAUGUAAAUACCCUUUAAUAUUUAGAUUAUUUACAUGUGUUUUAAAAGAAAAAAUAUAUAUAUAUAUUUUUACAAGAAAAAAGAGAGGACAAUUUUGUCCAAAUGGGUCUUUUUUAAGGUGAAAACAAUUGGAGGGUUAAGAUUUCCAAACGAGGAUGAUUUCAUUUCUUUUAAUCAAAUAACUUUUUUUGUUUUUUAGCACUUUCCGAGAACCAAACAUGGCAAUUACAAAAAUCAAGCUAGACAUUAUUAUUGGAACUUUGUUUCUAAUGGGUUAUGUGAUCAAAUUACAUAUGACGAAGUCAAUAGUGAAUAAAUUAUUAAAUUUAAAUAUGAUAUUCACCAUGGCCAAAUGCAUACUACCAUAAGAAAGCAUAAAGAAAGAAACAAACUUUUGGAUUCUAAUUAGACCAAUUUGAAUGAUAGCCUAAGCCUACCUUUGUAUGCGAUAAAAAGCCACCAUGUUUGGUAACCAUGAAUUGAAAAUUUUGGAUUUGAGUCGUGUUGACCUAAAAGGCAAGAAUAUUAAAUUUACAAUUUAGCUUGAAAAUUAUUAAAUAAUAUUUGAUUCAAAGAAAUAGAAUUGGAAGUCACCAACCCACCAUAUUGGAUUUUUAAUUUUAUUUAUUAUUUUAGAAAAUAAAUAGUAUGAAAAUGUUUUUCACCUGCAUAAACAAAGUUGUAGAUGGAUAAAGUCUAGGCCAAAUUUCUUUCUCCUUCUUAAAAAUUUGAAUAAGAAAUAACUAUAUCAAAUUAUUUUAAUAAAAAUAUUUCUUAUUUUAUAAAGGAUCAAUAUAAUAUAAAGGAAAAGUUAAAGUUACUUUAUACGAAUCAUAUUUUAUUUAUCAUUUAGGUAAGACGUAAUUUCAUAUUUAAAUCUAUUUGGAUUGGAAAGUUACAAAUUCUUUUGUAAGUUCAAUAAAAAGUUUUUAUACUUGUUUUGUUAAUUUUGUUUGAAUAGCUUAUAAUUUUAAAAGAAAACUUAGCAUGAAAGUUAUGAAGAUGUUACUUUUUGUUGAAAGUUCUUAUUGACUUGUGUAAGAAGUUACUUGUAACUUUUUGUUGAAAGUUAUUUUUUUAAUAUUAAUACUUUUAAUUGAAGUACAUAAUAAAAAGUUAUUCCAGACAAGGAAAGAAAGUAGAAGGAAAAAAAGGGAAAAAAAAAUAGUUUUAGGCUAUAUUUGGUUCUUGAAAAGUUCUAAGAAAGAAAAAAAAAGUUAAAAAAAUAUUUUUCUCAUAUUUGAUUGUUUAAUAAAAAAAAAAAUAAUUAAAACUAAUUAUGAAUUUAUAUAUUUUAAAAUUAUUUAAUCUUUAUAUCGAAGAGUUAAAUAUAAUUGAAAUAAAUUUAAAAUAGUAAAUAUAAAUAAUUAAUUGAUUUUAAAUUGAUUUUUUAUUUUUUUUUCAUUUUUUAUUUUUUCCUAUACUUUUCCUUUUAUUUUUCUUUAAAUUUCCUAGGAAUCAAAUAUAGCCCUAGAAUUAAUAAAUUAUUUUUAUAUUCUAUUUCAAAUUCAAAGAUUAAGAGUGUGUUGGAUGGUAUUUUUAUUUGAAAUGUUUUUAAUAAAAGCGUUUCCUAUAAAGUGUUUUUAGAAGAAUUACCAAUGAAGUGUUUUUUUUAAAUUAUUGGUGAUUUUUAACACUAUACAUUAAUUUUCAAAUUUUUUAAAAGCACUUCCUAAAUUUUAUCUUAUUUUUUGUUAAGAACACUUUUAAGACUAAUAGUGUUUUUAAAAAAUACUGUCAAAUGGACUUUAAUCAUUUAUAAAUGUACGAGUUUAACACUAAUUUUAAUUAUACUUAAUCUUUUUCCAUAUUUUUCAUAAUAUAAUCCAACAUAGAAAAUCAUCUUUCUAAAUAAUUUUUUUUCCUUUUUUCGAUAAUUUCAGAUAACCAAACUUAACCAAAAAGUUGGAACCUUCUAUAACUAUAGAAAAACCAUUUAGGAGUUCAUUGUCAAUGAUUUAACCAGUUGGUGACUUGCUUUAAAGAAGAGUGCCAAAUCAAUGUGGGAUUUCUUUCUUCUUGGUCAAGUUCCAUAUCUCUUUGAUUGUUUACUUUAGAUAUGAUUUUUGACUUUAAGUGAGCUAGUAAUCAAUGGCACCAUGCCCCAUUACAAAAUGGAAAAGAGGGUAGCGUUAUAAUUCCAAAUUUCCCUACACAUUGAUGAUGCUCAAUUUGAUUAAUUUGCAAGUGAGGAACCAUCAAGAAAGGAUAGAAAUUGAUGUGAAUUGUAAGCUUCCUCAACAUGGCCCUAUUCAUUCUUCAUGCUUUCACUUUAUAAUCCUGCACUCAUCAUCAAAGUUUAGAUUCACAUACAACAACAAUGCAUACAUUUGACGAGAGUGAAAUAUAAAUUCAAUUAAUAUUUAUGUUUAUAUUAUAAUAAAGAAUUAAGAAAAAAGUUUAAGUUCCAUUUGGUUACUAUUUUCGAAAAUAAUUUUAGAGAACGGUUUUUGAAAAUUGUUCUCUAAUGUUUUGUAAAACAAAAGUUUGUUUUAAAACAUAAAAUAUUUUUAACCUAUUUUUAAUGUUUUUAAAAUAAUUUUUAUUUCUAAUGUUUUGUUUCUUAAUCAUUCUACAUGUUUAUAUAGUUAUUUUUUAAAAUAAUUAUUAUAAAACAAGUAAAAAUAAUAGAAAAAAAUCAAAAUAUGUUAUCUGAAAACAUCUUGUUUUCUAUUCUUAAGAAUAAAAAAUAGUUUUUAAUUGCCAAACAUGUUUUCUUGGGUUUUUAUUUUGGAGAAUAACAAUCUUUUCUAAAAAAUAAUUGUCAAACAAACUUUUAAAUAAUAAUAAUCUUUUUUAAUAAUAUAUUAAUGAUCUAUCAUCACAUUCUCUCUAAAAAAAGACUAUUAGAAUAAAAUUAUAAACUAUUUAUAAAUAAAAUAUGUUUAAUUAUUAAUUUAUAGUGAUAUAAUCACUAACAAAAAAUCCCUUACUUUUAUUUAUUUAUAAAUAAUUACUUUUUUAACGACAAACAUUUGCAAUGGAUUAAAUCCAUUCAAACAACACUCUUUUGCGAUCGAAAUUCAUUAUUAUAAUAGUUGCCAGAGUGUUAUAACUUCUUGCAUGUGCUUGUUGAUUGUUUGGUGAGAAUAUUAAAAGAGAAAAUUCAAGGGGAAAAAAACAUGGGGUGGAUAGCCCUUCUUUUAAAAACCUUAUCCAAUCAUCUCAGGUGGCGUAUUCAACCUCUACUAACCUCAUAAAUCAUAGAGAGUUGUUCAUCACUUACUAAUAAUUCAAGCUACCAUUGGGCUUUAUAAAAGAUGAAGUUAAUAGUAGAGACAUAAAUAAGAUGGUAAGAAAAAGAUAUGAUGGAGGAUUUCUUUACAAAAUUCUUUUAAGAAAAUAAAUUAUUAAUUGUAUAUUUAAUAUUUUUUUAAUAGAUUUAUAAUAUUGCUAUCCUUAUUCAAUCAAUGGUAGCUCAACUAAUUGAUGAACAACUAAUUAGACAUUGGAAUUUUUUAUUAAUUGUUUAUUAAAAAUAUAUAUGUGAUAAAAAUAAUCAUUAUCUUAAUCAUUUAUUUAAAAAAAAUAAAACAUUGCCAUUGAUUGUUAUUUUCAAAAACAAUUUUUUUUUCUUAAAAAUAUAAAAUAUGAUAUCUCCUAGAACAUAUUUUGUUGUUUUUAUAAAAGUCGUUUAAAAUAAUUAUAUAAAUAUGGAAAUGAUUGAAAAUAAAGUAUCAUAUAUGAAAGUUAUUUUUAAAUACAAAAAAAGUAAAAACAUUUUUCGUCCUAAAUUAGAUUUUUGUUAUGUUAAAUAUUAUAAAAUAGUUUUCAAAAAAACAUUUUAAAAAUUAUUUUUAAAAACACUUCCCGAAUAGAACUAAGGUUAAUAGAAUUGAAAAAAGUAAUAUUGUGAUUGUUAAAAUUGAUGUAGCAAAAAAAUAUUUGUUGUUAUGAAUUCUUCAAUUAAUAAUGUUCAUUUGCAUGCCUAUUAAAAGCACCAUUUCUUUUUUCUUCAUCUAGUUUCUAUAGGAGCAACAUUUCAUUUGUAUAAAAUGCAUCUCAAAUAGGCUGGUUUAUGCACUAUGUAUCCAUGAACUAGUAACACCUUUUUCCAUUUCAACUUUGGGAGGAAACCUCACAAACCAUAGUCAACUUGUAAUAAUUAUUACCGAUGAUUUUCAAAUGGUAUGAUAUUAUUAGUUUGAGAAUUUAAGCCACUUUCAUCAAAUACCAAUCGUGAGAUGUGAAGGCUGGCCAUACAAGGCUCCAUGUUGAAAUAGAUGGGAAUGGGAAUGGUAAUGAUACUAAUGUGAUAAUCAAAUAAAAUUUGGGGUAAGAUUUUGAGAGAGAGACAAAAGAGAGAAGAAAGUGUAUGAUAUUUGAUAACUACGGGUGUAACAAUGAUACAUCGAUAAUAGUUGAAUAUGCUCUAGUUUCAUUUUUUUUCUAUAAAAAUGUAUAAAAUAUAUGAAAUUCGAUAAAGCGAUAAUAGCGGGAUAUGAUUUCUUUCCAUCUUUUUUUUUUUUUUUUUAAGAAAAUCCUAAGAUUGAAUUCGAUACAUAAUUUUUUUUGUCCAUAUUAAAAAAAAAAAGUGCUAAUAAUCGAGUUUGCUGGUUUCAUCAAUCUAUUGAACUCAUAGAGCUUAAUUUUUUCAAUAUUUACCUUUUUCUCUUUUUGAUAUUUCUUCAACAAAAUAAAAUUAUAAAAUAUUUUAUAAAUUUAUUAUAUUCCGGUCUUAACUAAGGUAGUGUUUGUUUUUUUGGUUUUUUGUUGAAAGUAAUUUAGUUUUAAAAUUUAGGUUGUUUGUUUUUCUAUUUUUUUCAUGACUUAUUAUAAAAUUUUUGUUAAAUAGAAAAAAUCAAAAUAUGUAACUUUUUCUAAAUAGAAAAAAUAAUAUAUUGAUUUUUUAUACUUUUUAAUACUUAAUAGAAAUAAAAUACUACAAAAAUAACAACCUAAUAUUUAACACUAUUAAGUAUUAAAGUUCUAUUUAGAAUUAAGUAAAAAAACAAACACCACCUUAAUCUAAUCAUGACUUAACUAGUUCUAUAUUUUUUCUAUAUAUAGAAAAAGCUUAAUUUUCUAUACCAUCUAAACCAUCUCAAUUUCUUUCAAUCUAUAUAUAUAUAUGUUCUCCCUCUCUCAUCUUGGAUCAAGGUAGCUUGACCCCCACAAAUCUCAUAAACCCUAGAGCUACUCUUGAGACCAUUCAUGAGAUGAAGGUGGGUGAAGUGGGUUUAAUAUAGAGAUUGGAGAGAGAAGUGAUUAGUAGAGGCAUUAAUUAAGAGAAUCUGAAAAAAUCUGAGAGUGAAAGGAGGGGUGUAGUCUGUGACAAAUUGACAAUUGAUGAGGUUGUGAAGUUGACCUUGUAGUGACAGGCAAUAAUGGGUGAGAUGAUAUCUUUUUAUCAUUUUUCCUUCUUAUUAAUCUAUAAGUUAUGUUUUACAUAACUGAUUGAAGACACUUCAUUUAGAUCUCACUAUUGAUUUAGUUUAAGAAAAAUAUUGUUACAAGCAUUAAACCCUAUUGAUGUAUAUUCCACUUAAGGCUUCAUUGCGAAGAAAUGUGAUAAAACCCAUAAUUUAUUUUAAUUAUGAACAAAAAAUAGAAUUUUGUUAGUGAUCGUUAUAUUAAUUAAUUAUCGUUAUUAUUGUCAUAUAAACCGCUACAUUAGUUGUUAUAAUAUCGUUAUAAUGAUAAAAGACACCAUAAUAAUGUCAUGAAUUUAUGUAUUGUUAUGUAAUAGUCACUAAUAAUAUAAAAAUAUUUUUAAUUAUUGUUUUAAGGAUAUUACAAUUGUCAUUAACGAAAACAAUAAAUUUGAUUGUAUUUACCAGAUAAUUAAUAUCAAAAAUUAAAAAUAAAAUAAAAUAAAAUAGAUGAGGUAGAAGGGUCAUCAGAGCUCCCUUCAAACCAAAUUACAAGUCAAGAAGGAAACCUCAUCUCCCCAUUCAUGCAAACCCUUAAAGGGGACAUUGGAUAUAUUAAUCUGUACACUACAAAGGUAUCCAUGAACCAGCAGAUGUAACACCUUCUACUCUUUUGAAUUUGGAAUGAGGGCAGCUUGUUCAACCCCCACUAAACCUCACAAACUAUGGAGCUAUGAGCUUAUGGAGAGAUCUUGCUGCACUCCUGGAGAUAUACGAAGAAGGAUAGGUACACUUGGGUUUAUAUAGAGAUAGGUGAGGAUGGUAAUUAAUACAGACCAUUAAUGAGGUAAUCCAUGAAAAUCUGAGGGUGAUAUUUUGGGAGAGCAUAGAGAAGAGAGAGGUAAAUGUAUGAAAUCUAUAAAGGUUGGUGUAAUAAUCACAAAGCGAUAGUGGUGGGAUAUCAUCCCUUUUCUUUUCCUUUUCUUGCAAGAAAUGUCAAAAAUUCAAUAAUAUAUAUAUUAAUAAAUUUAAGGAAAACCAUGUGCAAUGGUCAGAUAUGCUGUGGUUUAUUUGGGGUUGGGAAAUUUUGAAACUCAUGGAGCUUAAUUUUUUAAUAUUUGUUUUUCCUUUUUCAAUAAUUUUAUAUAAUAUAUAUACACACAUAUGCGGGAGAAAAGACAUGACAAAACUCAAAAGUUAUUUUAAUUAUAUAUAAAACAAGAAAAUAGAACUUUAUAAGUAAUCAUUAAUAAUUAUUAUUAUCGUCUUAUAAUAUCGUUAUAAGGAUAAGAAAUACCGUAAUAAUGUCAUGACGUACUAUUAUGUAUCGUUAUCGAACGAUCGUUGAUAUUGUUCUAAUAUAUUUUAUUCUUUUAACGGUAUUACAACGGUCAUUAACUAAAACAAUAAAUUGGCCAUAUAGAGAUGAUAUUUUUUAAGAUUCAUUUAAUAUAUUAUAAUUUUAAAAGUCAACAAUGGGAUUUGUUCUAAUAAAAUUAACUAUAAUUAUAAGUUAAUUAUAUAUAUAUUGAAGAAAAAAAAUAUUUGUUCACAAAACCAAACUUUUUCUACUGAUAUAAAAAUUAUAUCCUUGUCCAAAAGACUCUUUAUCCUUUUGGUUUUCACAUAUUUUUUUCAUUCUAAUUAAUAUCUUCUUCCCAUCAAAGAAGAUAAAAAGAGUUGAAUAGAUGGUUAUCUUCUCCUCUAAUAUAUACCCACAAUAUAGGGAAAAAACCAUUAGUGGAAAGUUAUUAAAAUUUAAAUUCUUUGAUUAUGGACCACACUUACAUAGACAUACCGAUACGAAGUAUAUAUAAUCAUUCACAAUGUCAUUUCACAUCUUUAGAACACUCAAUGUGCAUUUAAUUUUCUCAUUGUGAUACAACAUUUACUUUUGCUUUCAACCUAUGUGAUCUUCUUCUUCCUUCUUUAAAAGUAGGCUAGCUGUUGAGUUUCUUCCUCCCUCCAUUUGUUAAAACAUGCUUCCUUCCUUUUGUACUCUUAAUCUUGCACCCAUCUUCAAAAUUCACUGUUUCAUAACAAAAAACAUCAAAACCAGCUAUGAAAAAUGUAAUUAAUUUCUAGAGGCAUUAAUGAAGUAAUUAAUAUAAAAAAUAAUUAAAAAAAAAAAGAGGAUCAGAAGGGCUAUCAGAGCACCCUUCAAACCAAAUUACAAGUGAAGAAGGCAACCUCAUCUCCCCAUUCAUGCAAACCCUUAAAGUUGACAUUAGAUAUAUUAAUAUGUACACUACAAAGGUAUCCAUGAACCAGCAGAUGUAACACCCUCUACUCUUUUGAAUUUGGAAUGAAGGCAGCUCGUUCAAUCCCCCAUAAACCUCACAAACUAUGGAGCCAUCAGCUUAUGGAGAGAUCUUGCUGCACUCUUGGUGAUAUGUGAAGAAGACUAGCUAAACUAGGGUUUAUAUAGAGAUAGGUGAGAAUGGUGAUUAACACAGGCCAUUAAUGAGGUAAUCGAAAAAAAUCUGGGGGUGAUAUUUUGAGAGAGCAUGGAGAAGAGAGAAGUCAAUUUAUGAAUCUAUAAAGGUUUAUGUAUUAAUAACAAAGCAACAAUGGUGGGAUAUCAUACCUUCUCUUUUCCUUUUCUUGCAAGAACAAUCCAAAAUUCAAUGAAAUAUAUAUUUAUUUAUUUUUAUGCAUUUAGGGAAACCAUGUGCUAUUACAAUGGUUAAAUUUGUUGGCUUGCUUAGGGCUAGGAACUUUUGAAACUCAUGGAGUUUGAUUUUUUUAAUAUUUGUAUUUUCAAUAGUUUUUAACAAAAAAUAGUUUCAAUUUUUUUUUGUUAAUUUACUUAACUAGGGUUUCUAUUAUAGAUUAAAGACAAUUUAUUUGGUUACAUUUUAUUAUACACAAGGAAUAUUAAUUGUUAUUAGAUUAACUAAAUGACAUUGACAAUUUAUUUUUUCUCUUAUUAAUUUAUUCUAAAAAUUUUGAAUUAUACAAUUAAUUAGGAGUGUUUAGUGAUGCAUGCCAAAUCUAAACAUGCAAAUCUUGUGGGACAUAAUUGCACUUAUUUAUAUGAAAGAAAUUAUCUGGAUUUUGCACAUCCGAGCCAUCAAUCAGUUACGUGCUAAUAAAAAAAACAUGUACUUGAGGUUUUUUUAUGCCUCAAUCCAAGAUUCCUAUCCUUUUGUUUUAAUAUUGAAAAUAUUUAAAAAAAAUAGUUAUUUCCCGAGAUACUUUUUGAUAAAUGAAAUAUAUGUGUAUGCAUAUGUAUUAUUAAAAUUCGAAUAUUUUGACAUUGAUGGUAAAUCUUCUUUGACAUUAAUGAUUUAAACUACCAAUUGGUAUUUUAUUACUUAUCAAAAAAAAAAUGAUGCAAAACACCAAAAAAUAUACAAAUACAAAUUCAUGGAGAUAAAGGGAAAGAGGAAGAAGGCUUUUACAGCACCUUUUAGACCAAAUAGGGAAUGAAGGAGGCAGAUAGUUUUGCCUCCAAGAUCAUGUUACUUUUAAAAUAUGCAUUAAACCCUCUUAGUGUUAUGGUUUUUAAUUCUUUAAUGGUUAUUUAUAUAUAGUUUUAUUGAGCCUUUGUUUAAAAGCGUGUGAUAAAAAUCAAAAGUUAUUUUAAUUAUUCGACAAAAAGUAAAAUUUUGUUAAUAACCUUUAUUUUAAUUGUCAUUAUUGUCAUCAUAUGAACCGUUAUACUAACUGUCAUAAUAUCGUUAUAAGGAUAGAAGAUACCAUAAUAACGUCAAGACUAUUUAUCGUUAUAGAACCGCCAUUAUUGUUACUUUAUUCUUUUAGCCGUAUACAACUGUCACAACUAAAACAAUAAAUUGGUAGUAUAAAAAUGAUAUUUUGUAGUAUUAAUUCAAUGUAUCAUAAUUUUAAAAGUCAACAAUAUGACAAAUUAUAAUAAAACUAACUACAAGUUAAUUAGAGGGUUUAUCUUUUUCAUAUAUAUUGAAGAAAGAAAUAUUAGUUCACAAUUUUGAUGGACAAAUCAAACUUUUCUACUAAUAUAAAAAUUAGGGUUUCAAUAAACUAUCAAAGACAAAUUAUGUAAUCAUAUUGAAUUAAUUUCAUAAAAAAAAAUUGUUGUCAAUAUUUGUUUUCUUAAAUUCCAAAUCAAUAAAAUAGAGGGAUCGUCAAUUUAUUUUCAAACUUAUAAUGGAUAAUCAUAAAAUUAAAAAUAAUUUCUUAUUUUAAAAUAAUACUACUCCCAUCAAUGGAAAAGUUGAACCUUGAUGAAGCUAGACUAGUUGUAGCUAUUUCAAUUAAAAAAAAACUUUUUAUUUCAAUUAGACUUUUCCAUUGAGGAGGAAAUUAGGGCUCCAACAAUUGAUUGCUUUAAAUUGAUGUGAAAAAAAAAAUAUUGUUUUGAAUAAUCUAAUUAAUGGUGUCCUAUUGUAAGAAUUUCAAAAACAUCAUUUUUUGUUUUCCUUUUUCAUUUUCUAGGAGAUAACAAUUGAUCAAUGAUUUCAUUCAUCCUUAUCCAAAAAGCCAUGAUCGUUAUUUUUUCUUACUUUGCAGCUCUUUUAUUUAAGGUUUUAUAUUUUCUUUUUUUUUUUCUUUUUGUGGUUUCUUUAUGUUAUAUUUUAGCUUUCUCCACUUAGUAAAGUGAUAUUUUCUUUGCAUUAGUUAUAGUGUUAGUAGUUUUUCAUAAACACAAAUGUAUAAAACCAAAACCUUGGAUCAUACCUUCCAUCAUAGCAAUUAGAUUCAAUGAAAACCUUUGAUAGAAAAUAACCCACAAAAUGCAAUUUAUAUUAUCUAGGACAAUUUUUACUAGUCCAUUCAAAAUCUAAUAUUCGUGUUGAAAUGGAUAAAGCUAAAGACUCUCUUAUAAACUAGAGACCCUUUAUCAUUUUUAAGUUUUUUUGUAUCAUUUUUCACCCUAAUAUCUUCUUCCCAUCAAAGAAGAUAAAGAGAGUUCGAUGAAUGGUUAUCUUCUCCUCCGGCAUGUCCCCUCCAAUAUCAAGGAAAAUAAUUGUUAGUGAGAAGUUAUUAAAAUUUAAAUUCUUUGAUAAUGGGCAACACAAACAGACACAUGCGUAACAUGUAACAAAUAAUCAUUCACAAUGUCAUUUCAUAUCUUUGGAUCACUCGAUUUACAUUUAUUUUCUCAAUUUGAUACAACAAUUAGUACUUUUGCUUUCAACUUAUAUUAUUUUCUUCUUCCUUCUUCAAAAGUAGGCUGCUAAGUUUCAUCAUUUCUUCCUCCCUAUCCUCUAUUUGUUAAAACGAAUUGCGGUCCUCCUUCAAUUCUUCUAUCCCAAUGGCAAACCCAUCUUCAAAAUUCACUACUUCAUAACAAAAAAACAUCAAUGUCAGCUCAGAAAAAUAUAAUUAAUUUCUAGAGGCAUUAAUAAGGUAGUUAAUAUAUAUAAAAAAAAUGAGAAUGAGAAGGGCUAUCAGAGCUCCCUUCAAACCAAAUUAUAAGUGAAGAAGGCAACCUCAUCUCCCCAUUCAUGCAAACCCUUAAAGUGGACAUUAGAUAUAUUAAUCUGUACACUACAAAGGUAUCCAUGAACCAGCAGAUGUAACACCUUCUACUCUUUUGAUUUUGGGAUGAAGGCAGCUUGUUCAAUCCCCCAUAAACCUCACAAACUAUAGAGCCAUCAACUUAUGGAGAGAUCUUGCUGCACUGUUGGUAAUAUGUGAAGAAGGCUAGGCAAACUAGGGUUUAUAUAGAGAUAAGAAAGAAUGGUAAUUAAUAUAGGCCAUUAAUGAGGUAAUCAAAGAAAAUCUGGGGGUGAUAUUUUCAGCAGAGAAUGGAGAAGAGGGAGGCAAAUAUAUGAAAUCCAUAAAGGUUGGUGUAAUAAUCACAAAGGGACAGUGGUGGGACAUCAUCCCUUUUCUUUUCCUUUUCUUACAAGAACAAUUCAAAAUUCAAUGAAAUAUAUAUAUAUUUUUUUAUGCAUUUAUGGAAAACUGUGUGCUAAUACAGUGGUCAGAUAUGCUGGUUUGUUUGGGGCUAGAAACUUUUGAAACUCAUGGAGCUUGAUUUUUCAAUUUUUUAUUUUCUUUUUCAAUAGUUUUCAUAGGCUAUUGAGUAUCAAAUUAUUCAUCAUUAUCUUUAGCUUGUGAUGGAUAACAUUUCCUAGUUGUGCAUGACACAAAUUUGUAGUCUCGCUUUUCAACAUCUUAUCUAUAUAUGAUGACUUUGCUAACAUCGAUCAUGUAGAUAGAUACCAACAUUUUUCCUAUACCUAGAAUAUACUUUGACAUCUUCUAGUCCAAAUGAGGCAUAAUUGCAUGAGACUAUUAGUUAUGACUUACGAUACAAACGAUAAUUUUUUUUUUAAUUUCUAGAAUAUGGAAAACAUUUUGGAACUCUAUUUUAUGAGGACCAAGGCAAGAAAUAAUCAUUGUCUUGACUUAGAGUCGUUAAUGAUCACCAUUAUUUGAUUCCCUUCAUAGUUUGAUACGUUAAAUUAUUUUUCUUUAUCAUUUGUCAUAUGAUUAGAAAAAUCGAAAUUAAUUACCCAAUCAUCAUCGAUGUAGUUGAUGGCUUCAAUUAUGGAUAUUGCUGUAAAUCAAGCUCUACUAAAAUCUUUCUUAUAAUUGUAUUCUAUAGCUAUGAGCAUCCUUUUUGAGUUAGCUCUUACAUUGACUUGAUAUGUUCAUUAUCUUUGACAUUUUCUUGGUGACUAGUAGAUGUCACCAAGUUUUCUUCCUCUUUGACCAAGAAGUAUUCCCAUAAUAUACAACUCCUGUUAAAGUUGACUAUUACAAGUUUUUUCCUUGUUACCUCCUUAGCUUAGCAUGUUUUUCAUCCUUUGCUACACUCGGAACAUUUCAAAAGGCACAUCAAAGAUCACUUUUUUAUUUUAUUUUAUUUUUCAUUAAUUAAGCAAUUGCAAAUAUCUAAGGAGAUUUAAAAAAAAAAAGAAGAGAUCUCUUUUCUUUCUUCUUUUCAUUUUUUUUGAAAGAAUAAUCCAAAAUCAAAUUAAAUGCAUAUUUUUUAAACUUAUCAAAUAAAUACAUCCCUUCUAUCACAGGGUUUGAAUAUGUUGGUUUGUGUAGGGUUGGGGAUUCCUUGUAACCUUGAACUUAAUUUUAUAUUUUUUUUCUUUAUCAAUAUUUUAACAAAUUAAAUUUGUAAAAUUUUAGAAAUGUCUCUCUCUCCAUAUAUAUAUAUAUAUAUAUAUAUAUAUAUAUAUAUAUAUAUAGAUAGAUAGAUGUAUUUGGACUUAUCGAAAAACAAGUUAAAUUAAUUAAGGUUAUGUUUGGCUUUUGAAAGGUCAAGUAAAAAAAAUAUAAAAGAAAAUAAAAUAAAUUAAAAUUAUUUAUAAACUUAUAUAUUUUCAAUUAUUUAAUCUUCAUAUCAAAUAAUUAAAAUAAGUGAAAUAAGUUAGAAGUAGUACACAUGAAUAAUUUGAUUUUAAGUCAUAUUGUUUUAUUUUUCAUAACAUUUUCAUUGGUUGAAUAUGAUGGAUUAUAAUUUCGUAGGAUUAUUGCAAUAUUUUAGUAUUCAAAAGUAGAAAAUAUAAUUUGUUAUUGAUAAAAUUAACUACAAGUAUCAAUUAAUUAAUUAGGUCACUGUUUUAGGAUUUAUGUGAAAUAAUAAUUGUUAGAGCAUUUUAAUUACUUGGUGCAUGUAUAUUGAAGAUCAUGAAUUUAUGAUAAAAACAUUUACAUUUAUGCCAAGAAAAUGAACUAUACAAAAUUUAAACCUUAUCAUUUUAAUUAAUUUAGAUGAAUUACAAUCUUGGGUCCCUGGUGUAUACAGUCCACAGACCUUACAAUAAAAGGCUAGAAUUUUUUCUCCUCUGCGCGCAGCAUCAUCAGGACUGUGUACUGCAACGCCCUUGUGCAUGGCCUAGUCUCUGUUUGGCUGGCUAGAAAACCACAUCGACCUAGAAAAAGGCAGGAAAGGAAAAUGACCAUUAUGUAAGGAGAAAAAUAAUUUGGCGAAAAAUCAUAAAUGAUAAUAAUAUUUUCUUUGAUUGAAAAUGGUAAUUGUGGCCUGUAGUGCUUUAUCUACCAUGACUCAAACUGUAGUUGCGUGGCCUGCACUACUUUAUCUAAUCAAACCCAUUAUUCUUCAUCCUCACAAUAUUUCUUUGUUUCGGUUUUGAUCAUCUUAUUUAAAAACUAAUUGAUAUUAAUCAGUGCAGAAAGCUAAAUCUUUUUCCGGACACUACAACAUUACAUGAACAUGUUUCUAGAGACCAUAUUAUUAGGAUAAGCAACAUUAUUAUCAUCCAAACACCCAUCCAACCAUGUUCAAAUCAUUGAAGGAAACUAACAAAAAAAAAAAAAAUCAAGAACAUUAGAAGGGUUAUGAGAGCUCCCUUCACUCCAAGGCCAGAAAGAUCAAGGCAACCACUUCUCCGAGGUCAUGCACACCCAUAGUUUGCACACAACAUUGCUAUAUAUAUUGUGCAGCCAUAGGUACUCAUGAACCAGCAGCUGUGGAUACCAUCAUCUCCUUUCAGAACUGGAGCGUAAAGGAGCUCCCAUAAACCCCCCCAAAACCUUAAAAAGGAUCAAAUGUGUGGUGGAAAAGAUGAAGCCAAGAGAGAUGGUAGUGAAUCAAGGUGAAGAGGGGUCCUUUUAUAAGGUUAGACAUGGUUGGUUUGGAAGACCUUUUGUAUUAUUUCAAAAUCCGGGUGGGAUUUUCUUGCUUCAUUUUGAAGAUAUGUUGCAUCUUUUCUAGAGGCUUUGCAUUUAUGGAGGAUUUGCUUCUGGCUAAAUAUGGCUAAUUACAAGUAGACAAAGUGAUUACGCAUUUCUUAGAAGAUGACUCUUGAAUGGAAAACCCUUUUGGAUUCUGCCUUGGAUUGAGGAUUUGUACAUCAUGUGCUUUGUUUGGAAAGGUAGACUUGCAAUAUUAAUUGCUCCUACUUGGGUGUUCUUCCAAAGAAAAGUUGAAAGAAAAUGAAAAUAAAUAAAUAAAUUUAAGCUAAAUAAAAUAUUUCUCAUGAGCUUUUUAAAGUGGGUAAUUUGAAAAUAUAUAAAAUUUUAAUUAAUUUUCAUUAAAUAUUUAACAUUUCUUCAUGUUUUUAAUUGCACAUUAGUUAAAGAAGAUUUUAGAUUUUUUUUCUUAAUUAAAUACUUGUCUUGAUUCAAAUAAAAGUUAGAGUAUAUAUAUGUCGUGAAAAUCUAAGUCUAAAAUAUAAAUUUCAACUGUCAAUGACUAUUACCUUAAUUAUUAUACUUAAUCAUUUUAUUAUUUGUUAUAAUAAAAUACAUGAUAUGUUGAUUGGAUUGGCUAGUUUCCAAAACUUGAAUGCUAACCCAAGCCAUUAAAGUUUUGGGUUGAUCAAAGGUUUUCCACACCAAGAGAAUAAUGCAAAGAUCCAACACGUCAUGAGUGAUUUGCAUCCCAUCUUACAGAGUUUAGUUAUACAUUUGCUUGAAAAAACUCUACGACAAUCUCAUGAUCCUUUGCGAUAUGUGGGCGACAAUCUCAUGAAAAAAAAUGUUGUUAUAGUUUAAUAUGAGUUGCAUUUUAUAAGUCUAUCAAAUAUUUUUGAAAAAAGGGUUCGUAAAUUGUUUUGCUUUCCACCUCAAACCGCACAUUGGAGACAAUAUCUUUCUUCCUAGAUUUUCAUUUUUUGUUUUGACUUCAUUUAGUUUUAUUCUCUCGUUCCCUUUCUCUAAAAUGGCUGUUUCUAGGUAGUUGUGUAUCUACCAAUGAAGAAAAACAAUUUCAUUGUUGUGAUGCUUUGAUUCUUAAAUUUUGUGGUGUGGGUGGUGAAAUGCGCUUGUAGGAAUUUUUUUUUCUUUGGGGUUGGGUUGGUGUCUUCAAUUUGGUUUUUAUGAGACACAUUUUCAUUUGUUUUCUUUCUGUUUUUACUUAUAUUAUACUCUUUUAUUUUCCAUGGGUGGGUAGAGAGUAUUGAUAUCUCUUAGAUAUCCUCAACCAGUAAAAAAAUUAUCUCUUGAAAUCAUUAUGGAAAUGCCAUUGUUUUUAUUUUAGCUAUUUUCUAACCUCAAAUAAAACCCUAGUUUUUAAGUGUUCUUGUAAGAAAAACACAGUAGGUGUAUGUUUCUUCUUAUGUAUUUUCCAAAUUUCAAAAGCAUGUUGCUAAAAACAAGCAUGUCAAGUGACUAUUUGAUUGAGUUUUCAUUUUUCAUGAUUUUUCUUUCACAAAUCUUGAUGAUUUUUUUUUUUUGUUCCCAAAAAUUUGAAGGAAAAAUGUAAAGAAAAGAAAAUAGAGAGAAAAAAAUUAAAGAAAAAAAAAUUAAAGUUAAUAAUUUUAAAAUAUAUAAACUUCUAUUUAAUUUUUAUUAUAUUUAAUUUUCUUUUAUAUUUUUGUGGUGAAAUUAAAUAUAAGAAAACCAUUUUUUUAAUUAUUUUAUUUUAUUUUCUUUGUGUUUUCAGAUAACCAAACAUACCUUUGUUUCCAUAAAUUAAAUAUCUUGAGUAAGAUUCUCUCCAAGGUGAAUUUGAAGUUAAUUGCCAUGCCAAUAUCAAUUUUUAGAGUAUUUCAAGUACUCAUUGCAUAGAGCAUGAACCCAUGAUAAAAUAAAUAAAUAAAUAAAAAGACUUUUUAUUUAUAUUUUUUCCAAAGAAAAUGUACUAUACAAAAUGUAGUCUUCCUCAUUCUCAUCAAUUCAGAUGAGAUUAGAGUCUUAGUUUUAUGAUCUUCAAUCAUGCAGCUCCUCUAAGGCAUCAUCCCCAUGUUGCAUACCCCAUCAACCUUGCAAAAAGAGCACAAAGGGACAUGAUCAUAUAAUAAGACCAAAUGAAUUUGGAUAUCAAUUAAUCAUAAAUCAUAAUACCAUAUUCCUUUUCAAAGUUCUGAAAUAAUUCACAAAAUGCCUUCUUUUCAAUGAAAAUCUUUCUUUUAAGAAACAAUUCUACGAUAAUUUGUUAUUGGGUUUGGGUCAUCUCAUCUAAAAAAUAAAUUGGUGUUUAGUUUACAAAAGCGGCAUUGUUGCCAUUCCAACACUCAUCUUAACAUAUUCGAAUUAUUAUUAUUUUUAUUUAAAAGGAAAAAAAUAAAAUAUAAAAAAGCAAAAAGAUUAGAUCGGUUAUGAGAGCUCCCUUCACUCCAAGGCCAGAAAAGAUAAAAGCAAACACUUCUCCAAGUUCAUGCAAACCCAUAGUUUGUAUACAAAAUUUCAGUAUAGAGAAUGCAGCCAUAGGUUUUCAUGAACCAGCAGUAGUAUCUCCUUUCAGUUCUGGAGUGUAAAGAAGCUCCCACAAGCCCCUCAAAAACCCUAUUUAGGAAAAUGAUAUCUGCAAUGUGACCAAAAAGAUAAAUUUUUGUGGAGAAAUGGCUGUGAUAACAAAAUGAUCAAGAGGUGUUCCUCUAUAGGGUUAGACAUGGUGGAUAUGGAAGACCUUUUGUAUUGUUAAUCUGGGUCAGAUUUUCUUGCUUCAUAUUGAGGAUAUGUUGCAUCUUUUUCUAGAGACUUUGCAUUUAUGGAGGAUUUGGUUAUAGCUAAAAAUGGCUAAGCACAAGUGGGCAAAAAGGCUAACACAUCUUUCUAGAUCAUGGCCUCUUGAAUGGAAAAUCCUUUCGGAUUCUGACUUGAUUUGAAUAGAGAUUUGUAUAUGUGAUUACAUGGAAAUCUGACUGGGAGGCUUUCAAAAAGUACAUUUCUUCACAUUUUUCUUCUCAAAAAAAAAAUAAAAAUUGAAAGUUGAAUUUGUCUUAGAUAUUGUUGAUUUUAGAUAUUAAAAUAUAUAUUGUGUUGUAUUCAUCUUCUUCUCUUGUAAUAUAAAAUAUAUUAAAGUGCGUUUAACAAUGAUUUUAGAAAAUAUUUUGAAAGAUAAAUUUUUUAAGUAUUAAGAAAUAUUAGAAACGUGUAGGAAAUUGAUUUUCCAAUUGAGAUUAAUGUAAAAAUAUAAAUUAAGAAAAUUAAAAAUAAUAACAUAAUACAAUUAUAAUGGGUUAUUCAAAAUGUAUAAAUCAAGUAGCUGAAGAUUCUAUGAAUUUUCCAUAAAUUUGGAUGUUGUACAUAAUACCAACUUGUGCUAAUAUUGAUAACCUAUAAUUUUCCAUAUAUAUAUAUAUAUAUAUAUAUACUCAUUCACUGUUUGAGUGGUGCAAGCCUUCAAAAUCUCUACAAAUGAUUCGUCAAUGGCUAUCCUUUUCUGGUUUCUGGAUUCACCGUAAAAGUAACCUGCAUGAGCCAUUUAUACACACAAAUAAAAAUAAUAAUAAUAACAAUAAUAAUAAUAAUAAAAACCCUUCUAUUCUAUCAUUUGAUUUUAGAAGGAAAAUCCAAAUACCAAUACACUAAAAACUUAGAAUACAUAUUGAGUGUGAAGAAUAGACACAAAGAGAAAGACGAAAGAUAUGAACAUGAAUGUUAUUUCUUUCAAUAAACGUAUAGAAAAAAUUUACUUUCUUUUUUUGAAGAAAAAAACCCAUAGUUCAUAAAAUAAAAAUCAAGAAAUGAAUCAAAACAUUUUCUGAAGGAUGUUAGAAGUAAGAACCAUAGAGCUCCCUUCACUCCAAUACCAGAAAGAUCAAAGUACCCUCAUCUCCCAAGUCAUGCUCACCCAUAGCUUGCUCUCACCAUAUGCUAGAACUUGAGCAUCCAUGGGCAUUCAUGAACUGGCAGCUGUGGCAUACCCUCAUCUCCUUCUAGCUAGGAGCAAAGAGAGCUCCAUUGAACCCCACCAAAACCCUAGGGAGAAACUAUAACAUAGAUUAUAUACUCAAGAAGAGUAGCUCAAAUGGUUGUGAGCAAAGAUGAAGGCGAAUGGGUCCUUUAUAUAGGCCUAGAGAUUCCAUAUGCACCAUUGGAUUUGAAAAUACUUCCUAUUGGGAGCAUCUCAUAAUGGGAUUUUUUUAUUUUUUUUUAUUUUUGCCAAAAACCGAAGAAAAUUAAAGAUUGAAAUAUUGGAUAGAGAUUAUAGUGCUUAUGAGCAUCUUUGCUUUACAUUUAGGGAUUAUUGGUUGAAGCAUAUAAUAAUUUUUUGUAACCAUAUAUGUAUAGCCAAAGUGGGUAUAUGUGAAUAUUUUUUACACUAUGAAUAUAGAGUUUGUGGGUCCAUUUCAUGAUUCCAUUUGGUGGCCUUGACCAAUUAUUUUUUUGUGGGUUUUUUUAUAGGCAUGGUUGCCAGCAUAUCUUGCAAUUAUUUGUAAAGUUAAGAAUAUUUACAUCAUAAUUUUAUAGUUUUUAUUCAAAUAAUUCAUUCAAAAGUUUAAGGAAAAUACAAAAGAAAAUAUGAGCUAUUAGUAAAUGAUAAAAAUUCAAACUUUUCAAAUGAAUUGCUUAAAGAUAAUUUCUUAAUAUUACCAUAAAUAUUACAAUUUUCCAUUUCCCUUCCCAUUCCCUUUUAUGUCACAAAAUAAUAAUAAUAAACCCAUUUAUUCAAUAGAAUAUUAAAUCCUUAGAAAUUAAAUAUCAUGAUGAGGUGGAUUUUAUCCAUUUCAAAUCCAUUUCUAGUCAUGGCUUUAAGAUGGGUCCCUAUGUACCCAAUACAUUACCAUUUAAAAGUAGUAGAAACUUCUUUUCAAGAUGGCGUGAGAUAUCAAUCCAAAUAGGGUCUUCCACUAUCAACACAUACAUGGCCUCAUCUAAUUUGUUGGGUAAAAAAAAUCAAAAGAAUUCAAAUAGUGAUAACAUUUAUACAAAAUUUAAUGGGAAAAAAAUUGGAAAAUUGGGAAAUUGAGUACAUUUUUUAAUGAAAUUCUUUUUCAAAACCUAAAUGAAGAAAGUAGCAAAUGCAUGGGCACAAAUAUGAGAAUCCAUAGGUACAAAACACUAUUUUUCAAAUUCAUUUGUGGGUGGUGGGUGGUGGGACACGUUCACUAUGCAGUGUUAGUUAUUCUAUGGACUUGGACAGCAUCAAUCUAUGUACCAAGUUUGAAUUUUGGUCUGCUUUUGUACUUUUAUAUACAUUAAAUAAAUCUGCAUUUGGUGGAUCAUAUAAUUUUAUAAUAUAGUCAAAAGUUAUUGGAACACACCAAUAUGUGUUGCACUUAUCGAUAAUUAGGGUAUGGUCCAUCACGGGUCAUAGAUUGUUUUAUGACUCAAUGCCUUACGGCUUUGGCUUUCAUGAUGGUGUCACCAAAGUCUUUUAUUUAAUUUUUUAUCAUCCCCCAAGUCAUCAAAAGGUGAUUAGGGUUCAAGUUUUCUAUUUUGAUUUUUUUUUCUUUAUCUUUGCUUUAUCAAAUCUUAAUUGGAAUCAAGAAUCAAAAUGGGUUGAGACACCCUUAAAUGUAGAAUAAAAUUGAAUCUAAUUUACUCGUAUUUUUUAUUGUCUAAAUCAGUUUUUGAUUCUUAGAAAACUUAUUUUGAAUGUGUUUGAUUGUAUUUUUAUUUGAAAUACUUUUGAUAGAAAUGUUUUCUAAAAGUGUUUUUGAAAAAAAAAAAAAAAAAACAUAUCAAGUGUUUCUCAAAAAAGCACUGUAAAUGAUUUUUAAAAUUUUUUAAAAAUAUCUUUUAAAUUUUGUCAAAAACUUAAAUUUUUUUUUAAAAAAUAUUUUUUAAGCUAGAAAUGUAUUUAAAAAAAAAAAAAAAAGAACUGCCAAAGGGCCACUUACAUGUUUUAAAAGGUGAAGAUCAUUUUUGUAAAAUAGUUUUCCAAAAGAUAGUUUAGAAUUUAAUAUUUUAAUAUUAAUUAAUUUUUUUUUCCAAUUUAUCCUUUCCCCUUAAAGUUUUAAAGUGUCCAAAGGGGUUCCUUAUUGAAUGAAAACACACACAAAUUAUAUAAAGAAAAAAAAUGAAAAUAUUAGUGCAUUUUGAAGGGGAAACAAAAUAGUGUGUUUUGGUCAAUUAAAUGAAAAAAGUUAUGAGAUAGAGAUGAGUUGACUAUCUGACAUGGAUAGAUAUUUGAGGAAUAAUGGGGGACACCCAAUGGAACGAAGAGUUUAUAGUUCAAAGUAUGUAUACAAAGAGUAAGAAAUAUGAAAUAUUUCGAUAACUCAAUAAUUAUAUCUAAUUUUGUCUUUUGUAAUAUUUUUUUAUAGUAUAGUAGAAUGAUUCUUUCUCAUUUGUGAAUGAAGGAAAUUAAGCCGAAUUCUCAACCUAUGAGAAACAAAAAAAUAGAGAAAACACACGUCAAAGAAAAACAAUCACACGCACAAGACAGUAUUUACGUGGUUCGGUAAUUUGGCUACAUCCACGGAGUUGCAGGGAUAUCACUAUUAUCAUGGAAGAAUACAGAGUAUAGGCCCAAGCCUUCGCUCCAUGGACUAAGCCUCAGUAAAUCUCCCAUUAAAAAACCAUGCAAUAUUAUUCGAGUCGGGUCGUCAAACCGGAUCAAACAAGACUAGGCUCCACAAAACCCUAUAGUGAAUACGGACAUAAUUAGUUGAACCAUGAUACUCUUUUAUGUUGAUUGUUUUAUCUUUAUGUUUUUAAAUUAAUAGCAUUUGCAUUAUAGUUUCUACAGACAUAACACAAGUAAAGGGUGUGAAAAGGUGAAAGGAGUUGUGUGACAUCCCACACCGAUAUGGACUCCUUGUAAUCUUGUAGACGCGUUUUAAAGUCGUGAGGGUCCCUUUAGGUCCAAAGCAGACAAUAUCUACAUGAUCGGGAGUGGAUCGUUACAAAUGGUGUCAGAGACGAUCCCCGACCUUGGUGUAGGUGGGGUUUGUUUGGCCCCGUAAGGGUGUUUGUCUGGCACAAUAUAUACUAUAUAAGUAUGAACUUUUCGUAACUUGUAGACACGUUUUAACGACUUGCUCCCAACCGUGUAGAUAUUGUCAUCCGAUGUGAGAUGUUACAAACACCCUCCCCUCCAUGCAGACAUAAUGUCUGCGUUGUGUCUUACAGGAUUGUGAAGCCAAAUAGACAAACACCCUUAUGGGACCAAACAGACGAACACCCCUUACCCAACCAUGUAGAUAUUACUCGCUUUGGACCCAAAGAGACCCUUACGGCUUUAAAACGUGUCUACAGGGUUAUGAGGAGUCUAUACUUAUAUAGCGUCAAUAACUUUCCCCCCUAUCCGAUGUGGGAUGUCACAAGUUGGAUGUUGUAAGAUGCACUUACAAACAUGUCAAAACAUGAUUAGCUCAAAUUUAGACGAGAUUAAGCUUACGUGUAAAAAGCAUUUUCAAAAAUAGUUUUUAAAAAUUAUUUGAUGAUGUUUUGUAGAAUACAAGUCAGUUUUGGAAACCUAAAAUAUUCUUAACAUGUUUUUUAUAUUUUUAAAUAUGUUUUAGAAAUAACUUUUAUAUGUAAUAUUUUAUUUUUAAUCGUUUUUCAUAUUUAUAUAAUUAUUUUUUUUUAAUACAACACUUAGAAAAUAGGUGAAAAUAACAAAAAACAACUAAAAAAAUAUUUUUUGAAAAUACCAUUUUUAAAAAAAAAUAAUUUUGUGGUUUCUAAUUGUUAAAUAUGUUUUUCCUUUUGUUUUGUUCUAGAAAAUAAAUAAAAAACCAUUUAAAAAACAGUUGCUAAAUGUAAACCUAAGAGUUGGUUUGAGAUAGUUUCCUAUUUUUAGCUUAAGUUAGAAUAUGAGACCAAAGCUAAAGUCAUAAUUUUUAAGAUAUAAUAUUAGGAUGUAAAAGUUUUAUCAAAUAAGAAAGAACUUUUUGUAUAAGUUAAAAUAAAUUUCUAUAAUUAAUAUUAAGGCUAUUUUUUAAGUUAUAAGCUUUUUGAACAAAAUUAUUCAAACAAAUAUGAAAAAUUUUAUUGAAUUUAAGAAAUAACUUUCACUUCUAGAAGUUAAUCAGAGGGCUAAAAUAAUACUUUUAAUAUUCUCUUUUUCACAGAGAUGACAUGAGUUGGGCCGAAUCAUCACAUCUCACCAUCAUGUUAGGCUUUCAAUAUGACCACAUGAAUUAUAUGGAAAGGCCCAAUGUCCAAACAAAAUGGAGGCCCAAUUUUAAGCCAAUUUAAAGUUAUACCAUCAAAUCCUUUGAGCUUAGUCAUUGAGAGAAAAAUAAAGGGCUAUGUGAUUAAAAGGGGUGAAAUCAUCCCCAUUUUGUUGAUCUAAUUCUUCUUUUUUUUUCUUUAACCCUAAAAAAUAUUCAUUUUGGAUAAAAAUGUCAUCUUUUUCUUUUUCUUGUAAAAAUAAUAUUUUCUUUUAAAACGCACGUAUAAAUAAUCAAUAUAUUGAAGGACAUUUAUAUAUAUAUACUUUUUUAGACAAAAAAAAAAGGGAAAUAUUAUAUUUACAAAUACGAGAUGUUUUCAUCCCUUUUAAUCUAUUAUUUCAAAAAUAAAAACCCUGGUCCAAAUGCCUAAUAAGUCAAAAUAAUAAUAAUAAUAAAUAAAUAAAUAAAUAAAUAAAUAAAAGACAGAAUAAAAAGUUGAUUUUGGCAUCAACAAAGUAAAUUCAGUAUCACGUUUGUGUUGUUUUCCACUCUCAUGUCAGUCACAAGUUGGCCAUCUCACCUAAAGGGUCAUUAUAUGGUGGCCAAAAAAGUAGCUUUUCCAAACCAUAUGGGAAAAUGAUUGCCAAUUAAAAAAAUGGUCUUACCUAAAAAAUCGUCUCAUUUACUUAUUCCUUCACCUACUCCCCUUUUAUUUGUGAUAAAAUCCCAUUUACUUUCACCUAUAUUUCUUUAUAUUUUCCCUUUUUAACCUUGAAAAAAAGUUAAUUCACGAUAAAACUAUCUAUCAAUAUGUCCAACUCAUAUCAAAUUUAACUUGAGAUAGAGACCAUACCAACUCAAUUCCCAUGAUUCUCUUGAAUUAUUAAACAAAAUAAUUAUUUUAAAAUCCAUGUCAUAUAAAUCAUAUUAUAAAAGUGAUCAAUUCUAUCAUAAUUUAAAAAAAAAAUGUUAAAAUUUAUUCCUUAUAUUUUAAAUAAAAUUAUAUAUAUAUAUAUUUUUUAAAUUUCAAGUUUUCAAUCCUAAGGAGGGAAUGUUAAUCCAAUUGAACUUCAUCUAUACCAAUCAAAACUUAGGCUUAGAAGUGGGAUCCACCCACAUUGCAAUCCUACUUUAUUCCAUGGUUUGAAUUUAGCUAUACACAUCAAUUCAAAGUUUGAUUGGCACUAUACCUCUUCGAUACCUCAACAUUUUCCCACUUAAAGUAAUUGGUGUUUAGUUAGAAGUGUCAAACUCAUGACAUCACGCCAUCGAGCUGUCAUGGCACCCAUGAUUGACAAUCAUGAAAAGAAAAACCGAAAGCUCGACCCCUCCGGCCCUCCCUCUCUAUUGAGGAAGGCAGAGGCCUUUAGUGUCCCCCCACCAGUUGAGAAGUGGGGCCUCACAAUCACUAGCGAAUAUGCUCCUUCUCUUUGUCUUUCCUUGAUCAUGGUUUUCUAGUAUCCUAUGUGUAGAGGACAUCAGGCCACCCAUCCCUAGCGUGGAGAGCGGCAUCGGUUCUCUCCAACAAUCACCUUGAAGGGCAUCAUCCAUCGCUCUAAAAAUUAUUGUCGGUUCUGUUUAUAACAAUAUCUUCAAACAGAGAAAUUCAACUGUAAACUGACAUGAAAAUGAUAGUGUAAGAAGAAAGAAAAACACAAUGAAGCCGAGGUAGAGUUCAUCAAAAUCUUCAAGAUGGACUUCAACUCUAGUUGUGAUUUUUGUAACCAUGUAAGCAACAAUACAUUUUCAUGUACAGAUGUGAUCCAGAAACUACAGAAGAAAAUAUAGAUAUACCCAUCAUUUUUGAACUUGAAGACAAGGAUCUUGGAACUUAUUCACAAGCCAGUAGUUGUAGAUUGUGAGUGUGUUACCUCAGGCAGGCAAGUGUACAAGCUUCAUGAACCUAAAAGGAACCUUUGGAAGCUUUGGCCCUGAAAUGCUGACCUUCUAACCUUGCUUCAAGUAGUUUUGCUUUCAAGCUAUUCUCCCUUGAGCCUCGAGGCCAUUUUGAAGAAGAUUCGGAGAUUUCAAGAUCUGGGGAUGUCAAUUUUGACAUCCAUUGUUGUAUGGGACUAGCAUGGCCCAUAAGUACAGAUUGAUUGCCAGCAUCUUCCCUGCAGUUAUUCUCAGGAUGUACUUUCUCACCUUCCAAUGGGGAGGAGUGAUUUCUGAUUAGGUUAUCAAGCACAUGAUUCAAGUUCACUCCACGGGCUCCUGCCCGUUUAUUCUUUUUUUCUGGCAUACUCUCCUGUGUAGCCUCGUUUGGUUCAAACUUCUGGGAAUUGUUUAUUUCAACUGAGUCAUCCCCUCCCAUUUCCCCCUGCUCACUGUCCACAAGCUGGGUCUUGUUUCCAUUACAAGACAUGGUUCGGGCCAUGUAUUCUUCAAACUGCGUCCGCAAGCCGGAAGGUUUGCGUCCCUUGGUGAUUUCUUGUGAUCCAGACUUUUUCUUUGUAGGAUACGAUUUCACUGUGUCUUCAGCAUGACCUUCUGCGGAGUUGCCAAUGUGUUUUUUACAGCUGCCAUUGCUUUGCUUUGCACCUGAACCCUUGUUUAGCUCAAAACAGUGUGAAUCACUAUCUGAAGAAUCUUCUUCAUCCUCUGCAUUUUGAGGGGCACUUACAGCCUCAUUCAAGUGGAAGGACUCUAAAGAAUGCCGACGUAAGCGACUUUCCUUCUGCUCACUUGGGGAUGAGUAAUCAUCUCUUCUAGAAGUGACAGAUUGUUUAGCUCGAAGGAAGGUUUCUAUUUCAAAGCUCAACUUGUCCACAAUUGUGUUCUUUUCUGCAACAUCGCACCGAGCUUCAGCCAGCUUCAUUUGCAUCCGCUCAUCAAGCCAUGCUUCAGAAAUAUGAAGAACUAACCGAUCAGAGUUUUCCCUAGCAACCCUGUCCUUUUCAGGCUUGUGUUUGAGGGACCGCACCUCUUGUUCAUACUCCCUUAUUCCCUUAGCAAACUCAUCACAUAGGUCUUCCAAUAGAAUCCGUGCCUUUUUCUCCCUUUCAAGUUCUCUCAAAGCAUUAGAAAAAGAAGAUUUCACCUCAGAAAGCUCUCGAGCUAGCUUUCGAUGCAGGGUUUCUGAACGUUUUCUUAACUUCCUCUCAUCUUCUAGCUCAUCUCUCACAGACUGAACUGCAGCUUUGAUUCGAUCUUGCUCCUUGGUCUUUCUAAUUAGUUUGUCUUCUGCAACUUGCUUCAUCAAGUCAUCCAUCUCCUGCCGUUCUGUUUGCUUCUCUUGUAAUAACUCUUUGAUUCUUGCCCGAGAAUGAUCCAGUUCCAUUUUCAGGGCUUUCACCAAUGAUAUGGUAGAUGCAUGCUGUUCUUCAAGACUCCAUAUCCGAUUGAGUACUUUGAGUAAUUCAGUGGAAGUUUUAAGGUUAUAACUUGAUUCACCAAUCCUACCCUUAAAGUCUAAAGAACUAGUUGGAGUGACUGCAGGAUUGUAAUGUGCCACCUGUGAAGAACAAAAGAACAUCUGGAUCAAUUUAACUAGCAUAAUCAUAGCGAAAUAACCUUUAGAAGAAUGAGCCAUUUGACAGAAAGCAUUAUAAAUAUGAAAGACGGCAGUAUGUUAAGGAAUCCAUGGUAAAGAUUAAGAUAAGCAGUGUCCUUGCAGCUGUAACCAUAAUCGCAUCAUGAGUUUUUCUAGCUCUCACUUUUCUGAUGGAACUAGAAACCUAAAAACAGCAUUUCUUGAAAUAUUAAAUUUUCUUCAACCGUUCUUCAAAACAGUUGAACUGCCCUUUUCGAGGCACUUUUGUUGUGAACCUCUUCUGUGACAGACCUUCCUCAUUAUAUUUUCAGAAUCCUGCUUGUACGUCUCUAGAACCUAAAUCUUACUGGACAAUAUGCUGUGUUUGACAGUCAUUUUCAUGUUAAUUAAAAUACAAAAUGAGAGCAUCACGAACACAAUUUCUAAUGGAAUAGCCUACUUGUGCUCCAACAGCAGUGAAUCUAUGAGCGAGCUACAUAGAGAGGACUUUGUGAAAACUUGCCAUAUUCAAUUCAAAGGAUACAUCCCCUUCCCCUUUUUUAGUCUGAGAAAAGCAAAAUGGGUUUUAAAGAAAUAUCGGCAGGAAAAUGGAGAGGAAGGGAAGAGAAUCAUUGUUUACCUCCAUUGAACUACUAUAACUUGCAGGAGAUACAGGCUGCAGAGCACGGCCAUUUCUUUCAACUGAUCGAUGGUGUUGCAUCAGUGAUGCAGCAACAUGCCGCCUCAAGCUACUUGCACUCUCUGGCUGGAAUGAGAAACAGGGGAAGAUCAGUUAAUAAAGAGAAAAGAAGAAAUCUACAUGAUCAGCUAAAAAUUUCCAGAGCUGUAAAAUGGUUAAACCAUAGAUUCAUAACUCUCAUAUUAAAUCAAUACUAAAAUCUACUCUGAAAUAGGGGUACCAAGCAUAUAAUCUUUUCAAAUUAAAACUCAUUAUUUGUAGAGCAAUUGCCACUUUUUCAAUGUAAAAAAAGAAAUAAGAAAUUUCUUCUUUCAGGGCAAAAGGGUAUCCAGAUUUCAACUCAGAAAUUCAUGGUAAUACAAAGCAAGACCAGUUCAUGGUAAGAUUCUUCCCUUCAUUUAUUCUUAUCAAACCAGGAACUCACUGAUCACUAUCGCCAAAAUCAAAGAACAAGGAAAUAUAAAAAGAAACAAAGUAUAAAGAUGUGGCAAACAGUUGAAUUUCAGGAGGAAAGAAAAUGAAUUCAGUUGAACAAGAUGGUAGAAAUCUAAAUGAAGACUAAAACCCAAUAAGGGAAAAGAGAGACAUUUUUUUUCCUUUUCAAAUAUCCCAAGAAAAACAACAUAAACAUGCUAACAAAUAAAAUGAUAAGGCUGAGAGCUAGCAACCCAAAGGACAUCUCAAACAUGAUUUGAUGAAAUGUAGACCACAUGAUGAUGACCAAGGAAGAAAGUUUUCAAUUGAAACUGAAACUCCCAAAAUAGAAGAGAUACUGGUACAUCACAGAAAUCAAUGGAGUGCCAGAAUCAGAAUUGCAAUAGGAAUGAGAUAAUUGAAAAGAAAAAAAUAUAAAUCAAACACCUGCAUUUCUCUUUGCCAAACCAUAUAUGUGAAAAUCAUCAACGUCACCGACAAAGACACAGGACAGGCAAUAAACAAUCAAGUAAGUAUAAUCCAAGAAAAAGGCAAAAAAACCUUAUGUUGAGAGAACAUAACCGAUUGAUCCCAUCACAAAAAAUCUCAAGAAAAGAAAACGAAAAUCUAAACCAACACAGACCAACAAGGACCCAAGACAAGCAAGUAAAAACACAAACCAACAUCAUACAAAUAUUCAAAAACAAAAAACAAAAAAGGGCCAAGAUCUUCCAAAUGAGAAAACCUAAUUGAUCAAACCCAUCAACCCAAAGCCCUAACAAAUCACAGGAAAGAAACAAACAAACAAUUAUAUAAAUAAAUAAAACACCAUAUCAUAAAAAACCUAGAAAACCCAAAACCAAGCAAUGGAGGAGUGGACUAUGGUUACCUGAUCAGGAGGGCUGUGAGGAGGGUCAACCAAGUGGGUGGGAAGCUCAAAACCCUUGUCCUUGUGGUGGUGAUGGCGAAGUCUACCACCUCCCCUGUUCAUAUUAGCAACUGGGAGGUGUGACUGAAUCUCCCAGAGGUUGGCACCUAGUUUUCUAGCAGAGACAGAGGUGGAGCAGUCGAGAUCUUUAUCAAUGGAACUGGUAGCAUCAUUCAGAGAAAACCCAAGUCUCCAUGUGGGUGAUGGAGUACAAGGCCCCCCUCUUUUCCCCACCAAGACACCGCGUUUCAACUUUUUCCCCAUGAAUUCCUGCUUUUGUCUCUCUCUCACUCUUCCUUUUUCUCCACCCUCCAUCUCCCCGCUCUCUCUCUCUCUCUAGACUUUCUCACUCCUAAAAUUUCAAACUCCGAGUGCUUCACUCAUGCAUGGUUCAGCCAAAAAGCAAGCUGGAAACUAUUAGAAAAGUGGAGAUGUUGUAAUGAUGGCUAUGUUUGUUUAUUUUGGGAAGAUAAAAAAAAAAAAUUGGUCCUUAAAACCAAGGGCCAUGCGCCCCAUAGAAGGAUGCAAUACGCAGCUCUACCAAUGGAGUCAAGAAAAGACCACCACACCUGCCGGUUUCUACAUUUUGGCUAGGGGUCGAAGCCCAGUUAUAAAGGGCAAAGACAGUGAAGAUGGUCCUAUAAGGUUUGUCAGAAAAAUAGACCAAAACUUGUGGUCCUUAGAUUUCAUUACUUGCUGCCUUUAAAUACAAUCUACAGUACAGUACAACAGAAAUGAGGGCAUUGAAAGAAAGAAACAGCUAAAAGAGAGAGAAACAUGGGCUGAAUGAUUGAACUAUGAUCCAUGUAACAAGUUGUGUCUACAAUAACUAAAUUAAACUUCUCAUUUCAAAGUAAUGCAAGAUCACAUGAAUAGAUUCUCCCAUUAACUUUUCAAUAAAUUAUUUAUCAAAAAAAAAAAGUUAGCUUUUCAAUAAACAUACCAUGAUUUUUCAAAAAUUAUAUUUAUGUUAUUGUGUCUAUUGGAAUGAAAGUAAAUUGAUUCUGCAACUUAAUCAUACUACCAGAUAAAAGCCUUUUUACUAAUGAAUCCUAAAGGGUAUGUUAUCCUUUUUAUAAUUGAUAUUUUGGAAUUGAGUAAAGCCAUUAGGGUGGAUGGUCCAGUUAAUGGUUGAAUCUUCAAUCAAAUGUGGUCCAUUGCUGCACUUUGGUAAAAUAAUAUUCGACUCGUCGUAUAAUUGUACCUAACAUAGCAAAUGAUGAAUCGUUUAAGCAUAUUGGGUGUGGUCCAUAUUCAUGAUCAUAAUCUUGAUGUCUCAGCCUCACCAGUCACCAGUCUACCUCACUCAUUUUUUCGGGUGGUUUGGUUUUUCUAGAGACACAGACUGAUCGAUAUCAAAAAUGGUCAUUGGUUCAAUGCCGAGUCUAGAGGGACAUUCCUUCAAAGGAAGACUUUGGAUGCCAUAUGCUGAACUUCCAUCCUGAUUUUUGAAAGUACCGGAACACACUCUCAACUCAAAUGGGACAAGUGGGGUGGGUGUGGGCACAGCCUGUUUGAGUAAUUUGAGACCAAGGGCAACCCACAAUUGCCUUCCUUGAGGAAUAUUUUUUUCUAAACUUAGGUCCAAAGUCCUCAACACUUAAAAUAAGGUCACAUGAAGAUAUCAUUGAUUAUCCUAUUAUCAUAUUCUAUUACCAUCACCUUGAAGAUUAUCAACAAGUUGAUGAUUAUUACAAAUGAAGAAAAUGCAUGUAAAUCAUAGAUUUAUAAUGAGAUGAUCAUAAUUUCCCAUACCGUAAUAUCCCAGCUGAGUGAUAAUCAUUAAUCACAGUUGUCAACAUGGCUCAGCCACAGGGCAUAUCAGUGCCUCUAGUUCCACCACUGCAUCACCAUCCAAUUGCCCCAUAUCUAUCCACAUCCCAGUCACAAAUGCAUUUGAUUUCAAUAGAGGUGGAACAAGCUGAAUGAGAUGGUUGCUUUCAUAGUUAUAAUGGGGUGUGGCCCUUUGAUUGAGGCCCUUCAUUGCUGUCCAAUGCCCUGAGACACACGCAACAGGGUUGUGCAGCAAAAGGAAAUACUAGUAUUGUUGACCUACAAUGCCAACAAAACAUAUAGGACUUGGGCUUGGACUUUGGCUUGACUAGGCUUGGGCUUGGGCUUGGGCCUCAACGAUACCCGUCUAGGGCUGAACAUUCGGGCUUGGGCUUGACCACUUCCAUGAGGCUCAGCAAUAGUUUCCUGGGAUCCAAAAAAUUGAGCUAGAGAUACAUAAACUUACAGGGAAUGGUCCCUUUAGAAGCUUAGGAAUCUGAGUCUUCAGCUUGGAACACUGUGCAGAGAAAAAUCCUGGAAAAAAAAAAAAAAGAGCAGAUUAUACUUUGGGAUCAUGACUUCAUUAACUUACUAACUUCAGGAAGAAAUGCCCCUCUUCCAACCAUGCAUUCUCUAAUCGGAUUUACCGAAAAACAAGUGAAAUGUUUUAAAAACUAUUUAAAGACUAAUGCUAAAUUUUCAGGCUAGAAUCAUAGAAAUAUAUGUUCAAAAUACAAUAUAAAUACCCUAAUUUAGCAUUUCAAACUUACCAACCAUUUUAACAGUCAAAACAUCGCCCAGCAAACUAAGAUACUAGCCACAGGGCAUUGCCAUUGUUCAAUAAGAAAGGUAUAGCUACCGUCUUCUUUUGAUAACCAUUUUGUCAAACAGUUCAUGUGCAUUGUUAGACUUUUUUUCUCAUGUGAAUAAUGAAUCAACACAUUGCUCCAUCUAGGUUUCUACAUCAGAUAGAAAUUUAGAAAAAUCUACAAACAAAUUAAUCAAGUGGGAAUAUAGAAAUCUUAAGGCAAAUAAUCAUAGAACAAAUUUUUUUAAAAGAAAACCCUAGUUUUAUUUCGAGUGGGAUAUCUCUGGAUCUGGCAUUAUUAACUACAACAUAUAUUUCACAGCCAAGCUAGAUUCUAGAGAGAGAUGGGUUGCAACAAAAUCCAGCAAUAAUGAACAAAAUCCAAUUUGGUAUCAGAAAAUUCAGGAACCCAAACCCACUUGACAGCUUAAAAAAAAAAAAAAAAAAAUAGGGCUUUAAAUUGAAGAUAGAAUAAAAAACCUUCAAAUUUAAAGCAACUUUAAAUCUCUGAAAAAGUAUCAAAAAAUAGGAAAAAUAUAUAAAUAAAUAAUAAAAACACCAUCAAAAGAAGAAAAUAUAUAUAUAUAUUGAAAAUAACCUGUCAGAGUAGGUUUUGUGUUAGAAUUUCGAGAAUUUUAGGCACCAAAAGGAGAAAUAAACAAAAGGGUCUUUUCAUUUUCACUUUCUCUUUUCAUUUUUGUGUGUAAGAGCUGAUGGGUCUGACUUUCAAUUGGCCGUUGCCGCUGACACUGAACCUUUCGCGCCUUGUGUAGUUGGUGGGUUUUAGGAAGGUUUUCUUAACAAACAUUUCGUUUUUGGAAAAGGGGCAUUAAGGCAAUUCUAUUUUUGGAUUGAUUUUUAAACAUGAAUUACUAAAGAGAAUUCUAUUUCAAUAACUCAUAAUUUAUAUAUAUAUGGGCAUGUGAAUUAUGACGUGUAAAUUUAUUUAGACAAUUUUGCCUUUUUCACAUGUUCUAUGGUUUUCAUGGUAUAAAAAUAAGCUCUUGAUAAGCAAUUUGGUGAAACAUUGGAAGAUUCAUUUUUUGUACCCUUUAUUUGUAAAAAUAAAAGGAGUUCAGAACAUAUAAUGUUCUAAUUUUAACCAUACUUUUUUCCAAACAAAGCCUUGUUCCUUCUCAUCAUGCUCCAAUGGACUCUUAAAAAAAUAUAGAGGAAGGCAAUCAUUUUUCUAUAACAAUUCCAAUGAAGAUAGUCUAACAUAUCAAUUGAUGGUCCUACCUUUUUUACACCUUUGGGAAAAACAAAAAUGAAAAAGUAGAGAGAGAUGUUGGAGCUCUGUUUGUGUAAUGCAAGUCAUUUCAAGAAUUUGUUUGGGUUCAGUGAGAAAGAAAACAAAUUUUGCAGGAAAUUUGGCUUUCUGUUUAGUGAAGAAAACAAAUCUUCACAUAGUGUGGAGCCUCUCUGUGAGCUGUUAGUUUAACUUUGAAUCAUUCAAAGUUUUGACUCAUUCAUGCCUUCAAAACAGGAGGAAUAUGAGUAUUAUAUAACCCUUUCAGAAAGUGAGGUGGGGUUUUCUCUCACCUUCCCUUCUCACAUUCCUCACAACACAGAAUCUGCAUCAUACCAAACACAAUAAGAAAAGGGGAUAUGUUCUUAGGGCUAUCCGGACAAACCAAUACCACAAAGAUAUACCAGGUAAUUUUACAAAUUUAGGUCAAACCUAAAGUCAUGUCUUCCAUAACAACCAAAUGACAAUGGAAGCAUUUCUACAAAAUGAUGAAUUUAGAGCAACACAUACACAACUCAAAAUAAGCAACAAUGGUAAAUGGGAAUCCUUAGAACAUUGGCAUGUGCCAUAUGGUUUGCUGAUAUGGAGACUACUCUCUACCUUACAACUACUGUGGGGGGUGUGACACCAAAAGGAUAUCCUCAGCUUGGCUGUAGCUGUGGUCCCAGGCUAUUAACCUAUCCACUCUCAUCAUGGGAGUGGGGAAAAAACAGAGGUGGUGGUGAUAUAAAAGAAGCAAACUAAUGGAAUCACUGGCAUGGGAGCCCAUAUCCAAAUAUUGACUUUGGGGGUUUUGUAAGAGAAGUCACUGUCUAAGUGAAAAAAAUUAAAUGGUACCCAUCUGCAGAUUUGAUUUGGGGAUGGAAGGAUAUGCCAAAUCUAGAAAAAAGGAACAGAAGAAAUACCAUCCGUAAGUUUGCCUUGGAGACCGAAAAAGAUCCUCCGCCUCUGGGAAAAAAUCUUUAAGUACCCACAAGAGGCAACCAUGUGAAAUAGGAUCUGAAAAUGAUAUCUAAAGAGCACGAAUGAAAGGUUUAGGUAAAGGUCUGAGUGAUAACACCAUAUAUUUUGGGGAACAGAGAUUUCAUGAUGACUGAAAGAAGCCCAUAAUGUAAAACAGUCUUGAGCUUGUAUCUACUACUGCUGUAUUUCUGAAUGCAAAGAAUAAUAUUCCCAUUUUUCAUGAACAAGCAGCCUUUUUCUGCUGUUACAUUUUCUAUGAACUUUGUGGAACAGAGAUUUCAUAAUGGCUGAAAAUAAGAGCAAAAAAAAAAAAACAAAGUAAAAAGGGCAAAUUUUCAGUCAAAUUUGUCAAUACCACCAAAUGGAGCAAUUUCAAGUCUUGGUUCAAAGCAAAAACCAGUGAAGAGCUGAAGUGGGAACCUCUUUACUACAGGGCAUUUCUGUGACCAUUUCCAUUGUUUCAGGUUUAUAUCAAAACCAAGAAGAUGUGGAGCCCCAUAGCUUUGGAUGUAAAUGAGAUCAUCUGUUCCACUGCUGGCAAAAACAUCAUCAAACUCCCCAAACCCUUGAAAGAACUUAUGCGGCAUUCGGGCAACCUCCUGCCACUCCUUCCCAUUAAGAACCCAGAUGCCAAUACCCUUGAUUAUGUCAGGCCGAUCAUGUUUCCCGAUCCCUCCCACCAUUACCAGCUUCCCCUUGAGGUUCAUCAGCCGGCCACAUGUAAGAGGGCAGGGCACUGGGAUAAAACUCCUGAUCAACAAACCAUGGGAAGAUCGACUCAAGAGAUUAUACAUUAUGAGGCCAUGGCGAUUCUCAGGUGCACCACCCCCAGUUGAGUAAAUCAAGAAGUACAAAACCCCAUCACAGAUCACACUCUCAUCACCAGCUCUCCACCCAGUCACAACCUCUGUCAAGGCAGUCACCCAUAUCAUUGUUUCUGAAUCAUAAAUAUGAAUUGAGAGAUCCCACUGGAAAAAGUUUCCAGGGACUUGCUUAGAUUUCACAAUUGAGAUAGUAUAAUGGUGGGAUAUCCUGUUCACCGAGAUUGCAAGCGCACUGUAAUCAGAGAAUUUCAAGCCUGGAGGUUCCUCAAGCCUUUUGCACCUCUUGGUGACUGGGUUACAUAUAUAUAGCUCACUUCUACUAUCACUGUCCAUGAAGCAUACCAAUCCAGAUGAUGAAGUUAUGAACCAAUUGGAUGUAUUUAUACAGGGGAGUUCAAUGCUGUACCACUUCCGAAAAAUGGGAUCAUAGGCAUAACCCACUGGUUCAUCAGAGCUGGUAAACAUGAAAUACCAAGGCUUUUGUGAUAAGAUAUGAGAUUUAUUCCAUAAAAACCGCUUUGAACUGACAAUUUCAUGCCAUCUUUUACAUACUGAACCCGCUCUUAGAAUGCUUGCAAUGGGAAGAUAGGCCAGGAUCCGCUCCAACAAGUCAUUAGGCAGGAUUAAAUCUACUGAAACCGUUGCAACUUCUUUAUUGACUUCUUCCCUGAUCUCCGAGAAUGAACCAAAAUCCCCAAUAUCCCUCCUUCUGUCAUCAAGGCAAUGGUUGAUCCAUGAUGCUUCUCCCUCCAUGAUUAAGAAACACUAGAAAGCCUAACCAAACAAAUGAAAAGAGCAAUUAAUAUAAACCGAAGGAAUGGAUAAGGCUCCAACUACUUAAAUGUGAAAGGCGGAAAAAAAUCCUCUCAUGAUAUUGGAAUCACCUUAGAACACUUCAAAUCAAAGGAAGACUUAAACCCCGCUGGACCGAUAUAAAUCAAAACAUCUGCCAACAUAUCAAAUAUGAGGAAAUCGAAGAUGUAUGGAAAAUCAAUAUCAGAUAUCAGAUAAUGUGAAUAACAGAAUAAUAUAAGCACAAAAAAUAAGAAAAUAAACUAAAGUAUACAGGGAAAAUAGAUCAAAAACUUUGUUUACUACAUAAUACAGAGGCAAACAACAUAAAAAUUAACAAUAAAUCAAAGAUAAUACAAACCAACAAUCAAGUUUAAGGACUUGUAACCAAAUCCCAUCCUCCAUCUAUUCCAGAUAGACAAUAUAAAACCCAAACAUGUCCCUCUAAAAAUAAGAUGAAUUAAAAACAUUUCAAUGUUAUGUGGAUGGAUUCCACAUGACACAACUUUGGAACAAAGAUCCAAAGCAACUCCACAAAAUGAUUAAAUGAAAGAGGAUCUCAACAUGAUAAACACAACCUCUGUUUUUUCUUGUGACAAAGAUCAUAUCCAUAUCUAGGAGGAAGUAGUAUAUCAAAAUUGAAGGAAACUGAGCAAUCAUACAAAGGCAAUACUAUUAGUGGAUUUGAAAGCUUUACUCUAAAUCCAGAUCACAUUCAAGUGCCUCAAGAACAAAAGCAUAAAAAAAACAAAUCACUGGUCUAUCACUGCAAAAAGAAGAAACACAAAAAAUAGGAUAAGGAUAAGAAGAUUUUACUACAAUGGGUUUGUUUUGCUUUCACUCUCUUUUUCUUUUUAUUUUUUCCCUUAUGAGAUAACCACUUUACAUCAAACCCUAAAAUGGAUUUAUGACAUAAAAUGAUACAAUAAUGCUAGGUCGAGACUAGAGAGAUGGAUUAGAACAUGGGGACCUAUCAAUCAAACAUCAAAACCCCACAAAACUAAAAACAACAACAGUAAUAACUGAAACGACACCACAAAAUUAAAACACAGACAGAUCAAUGGGAAAACAAAACAUAGAAAACAAUUUCAAAAAACACUUCGAAAAAUGAAAAACCCAUCAGGAGCAUACCUACUUUUGAAACCUCUCUCCACUCCCCACUGUGCUUCACUAGAUGGGUGUUGCUAUAUUUGGCUGAAACCUCUGGAUUUAGUGAGUAAAAUGGCAAAAACGAGGAAAAAAUGGAAGAUAUAAACCUCAAAUCCAAGAUAGACCCAUUUCCAGAAACAACUAUUAAUAGCCUUCUCUAUAGAUUUAUUCUCUUAAACGGGAAGAAAACUGAAAUGGGUCGCUCUAGAUUUAGCAGAAAACCCACCACACAAGCCACAAAUGCAGAGAGAGACGGUGAGAGGUUGUGUUUUUUCCUUCUUUUUUUGCGAUGUUUAGCUUUGAUAUAAACCCAAAACGACAGGCAGAGAAUGAAGUGCGAAGGCGGUUUUUUAAUAAGGGGGUGUUUGGGGAGAGAGAAAGUUAGGCGCGUGAAGGAGCGUGUGACCAAGUGAAUGCCUGAAUUGAGGUGUCAUUGGAGCAAAAUCCAAUUCAUUUUAAUCUAGAAAAUAAGUGGGUCUUAUUUUCCCUUUUUCAUUUUUUUUUUCCCCCUGAGCACAAGGUAAAGGGGAAAAUGAUAAUGCUCUCUUACUCAUCAACCCCCAUUUUUUACUCUGUUUUCCUUAAAAUCCUAAAACAAUUUGUUUUAUUUUUGCCUUUAUGUGUUUUUCCUCCUUCCACUUUCUUUGCUUUUUCAUACUUUUGGCAAUGGGCAUAUACCUUACUUACCACCCCUUACAAGAUUGGCCCAAGUUGCUUACCACAUGGGGUACCUUUUGUUCUCUCUUUAUGGGCUUGGGCCUUGCUGGUUUGAUUCACUAUGGGCUUAUGGGCCUUCCUCACCCACCCAAAGUUCCUAAGAUUUGAACAUGGUUUAUAGUUUGUAACACAACAAAAUGUUGAUGCUAAAUAAUCUACUCAAGAAUCAAGACUAUAAUCUUGAGUAGAAGUCAAAAAGAAAUUGCAUUUUUAACUAAAUUUAUCGAAUUUAGGGCUUACUAACUUAAUUCCCGAUAUAAAAUAAUGCGACAAAAUUGAAAUCGAUAUCUAAUUCUAAAUUACCCAACAAUGAUUUUUACAAUCACAAGGAUACCAUGCACUAAGUUUUUAAAUAGAAAACCAUUGUUUAAUACGAUCGUGUGUUGUACUCAUUAUUUUAAAAGUUAAAUGAGACAUUUUAAUAGGUAUUAGGGCGAUAUUUACAUGACCAAAUCUGUUUUUUAUUUCUCUACCUUUUUUUUUAUUAAUCUUUAUCGAGGUGGAAAGAAGUGUCCAAAGAGUAAAACAAAAGGGGAAUAGAAGAUAUGGAAUAUGACAUGCGAUCCAAUGGAUGCCCUACAUGAUUACAAGAUGCCCAAAAGAGGAAAAGAAGUCCAAACAAAAUGGAACAUGAACAUUAUUGUAUAUUUGAAAAUUGUUUUUUAUUCUUAGUAACAAGAACAUAUAAAAAUAUAUAUUUAAAAAUAAAAAAUAAAAAAUAAGAAAUUUAACUUAUUUUGUAAGUGUUGUUUUCAAAAAUAAUAUAUAAAAAUUAUUUUCAAAAUAUGAAAAAUAAAUUAAAAACAUUUUAAAUGAUCAAAACUAUUUUUAACAAAAAAAAACAAAAACACUUCCUAAAUAAAGUUUUUUGUUAAAAAUGUGGAGAGCCCUCACACCAAGAAUGACUCAUUGGGCAACCAUGGGAGAAAGCAUUAAAGGGGAUGUGGGUGUGGGUAGUGGCAACACCACUUUGUACCUCUUUCCAGCCAAGCCACUCCUUGUGCACCUUAAGUCAUGUCUCACUCCCAAUAGUUUAAUAUUUGGGACAUUCCCACAAACAAUUUCAAAAAUGCACGUGAUCGUCUUGCUAUAUGUAGGUGAUAUAUAUAUAUAUAUAUUUAAUUGUUGAUAGGGAAAAUCCACCUAAUACAUUUCCAAUUUGGAGACAUGGAGAGAGAUGUUAACCAAAAUAUUGAAAAUGAUGUUUCAAAGCUUGACUUUUGCCAAAAAAAAAAAACGAGUACGGUUAUGUUUGCUUUAAAAUAUUAGGGUUUAAAGUUUAGAAUUAGUUUAUUUAUUUUAGGGUUAAAGAUUUAGAACUAGUAUUUAAAAUGCUUUUUUAUUUUGAAAAUUAAAAUUUGACAAAACAUAACAUAAUUCAGGACUUGACAUUAGUAAAAGUGUUUCUUGACUUUAAGUUUCAAAUGUUUACUUCUGAUGUUUUUUUUUUAAUAUGAUUUUAUUUUAUUUUUUUUAAGUGAAACUUGAGAUAUUUUUAAUUUUAAUGAAUUUUUUUAUUUAAAAAAGGUGAUAUUAUAUUAUUUAUGUCUGGCAAUUAUAUUGAAUAUAUGAAUAUUUAAAUAAAAUUACAAAACAUAUGAUCAUUUCAAUGGAUUUAGUUAGUGAAUUAGUUAACCAUUCAAUAUCUUAAUCAUUUUUACAUUGAAAAUAUGAUCAUGGAAAGUGAGAGGAAAAUUGAAGUAGUGGAGGUAGAGGGAGGAAAAAGAGACAAAGAGACAACACAUGGUUGCAUAGUUAGCAGAAAAUUAUUGCAAAUUCAUGGUGAUGUGAAUAGGAGUGAAGCCAAUAAAUGAAGUCGGUAGGGAAAAAAAAAAAUCAAAACAAAAUAGACAUAAAUGCUUAGAGGCUUGUGCAAAUUGUGGAUGGGAAGGAAAGGCAAGUUGGUGCUGCAACAUUGAAAAUGUGUCCUAUGCUUUUAAGGCCAUUUGAAAUUGAUGCCUAAGCUUUUGUGGGGUCUUUUUUAAAUGCACCAAACCAUUGAUUGGGUCCAAAAAGAAUUUCUCAGUCUUUUUGCCUAAUUUUUUUUAAUAAUGUUGCAUUCAAGUGAAAUGCAUCAAUCUUUCGUGGGGUCUUUCUUAAAUGCACCAAACCAUUGAUUUCAUUUUCUACCUGUCCAAGCAGGUUAGGGCUUAUUUCCUGACUACAUGGAAGGAAAGAAUGAGAUGAUUCAAAAUGUCGAAGAAAAGAGAAUGGAAUGAACCAAAAUCAGAAUUAAGAAAUAAAAUGAAAAUAAAAUUAAGCACCAUUGAAGUGCUCUUAUUGGACCGAAGAAAAAAAGACAGGAUAAUGGCAGCGUGGCUUAAGCAACCGAAGGUGAGCAGUCAUAUCAGAUUGGACCCACAACCCACACAUUUAAUAUCACAUCAAUCGUGCGUGGGAAAAUGCGCUGUCAUCUCACAUACCUCACAGCCGGCUAUCACUCUCACUAACUCUGUUUACGUUUUUCUUUUCUUUCUAAAUUUUUUUUCAGCGUUUUCACUUAUUUUCAGAUUCUGAAGUGACAACAGGAAAAAGUCAAGGCAAAUGAUAAUUAGACACGUGUCUGAGAGAACACGAGUUUGGUGGCUCUACCGGCGGUGGUGGUAAUGGUGAGUGGGUGAGUGGGUGCGUGGAAUGUCGAGUCUCGGUGACAGUGGCUGGUACCUAACGUGCGCCAGAGGCGUACCGGCGCAAAAUCCGGAGAUACAAUAGAUUUCAAAAUUGGUUUUAAUUUAUUUUCCCAUAUUAUAGCAUAAUAUGAUAAAGAUAAAAAAAAUUUAAUUUUGCUUUCAAAUUAAAGUUGGGGUUAAAAAAAAUUUAUUUAAUAGUAAUAAAAAUUAAGGUCAGGAAUGCACAUUCCGAUGGAAUCGGGGUCGGUGAUAUCAAUCAAUCGGGUUCGAAAUCUGUGCGGUUACCGUGCAAGAAAAAGUAGUGGGGUAAAAAUUACAAUUGAACAGUAAACGAGUAAUAGGAUUAACUGUGAUUCGUCUGUUUUAAAGUAAAAAAAAAAAAAAAAACUAAAAAAUGUUGAUUUCACCUGCAACGUGGCGUGGCAAGAUUUCAGUGGCUGGGUCACUUACAUUCCUCACCUACUUGUCAGUGGCUCUUUGUAAACGGUGGAAUUUACAUGAUUGCCAAUGCCCAACCUAACUGUAAACUGUCCGUUAGCUGAAAAAAGGAGUUGAAGCGAUCUUGACCGUUCAUCACAUCUUCUUGCAAUUGGAUGGGAAGACCUGGAAAUUCUGAUCUGACGGACUCAGAUGAAUCUUCCUUUGAAACCCCAACCCGCACAGCACUCCUCCGUCGUCCGAUUUGAAUGCCUUUGUUCCCGCCAUCUCUCUCAAUAUAUUACAAUCCUUGAGAACCGUUGAUGCUGUUGACGAAGAGGAAGUCGUCGAAUCUGCGCCGUCCGAGUAGUCGGCGGAGUCUGCACACGAGUGGUCACAAGAUUCCCCGCCCGAGAGUUGCUCGCUCUUCGCUGUUCGUCGCCGGUGGCCGCGCCGGCGCCGGAGACUCUGUCCCAUUAGAUCGCGGUGGUCGAUCGCCAACAUUCCGGUCAAGGAAGCGAAGUCUGAGGCGUUGACCACUGCCGCAGCUACGUUGAGAACGCCAUGAAAUCUCCCGGAGGGGCGCCGGAUCUGGACGGCGGUGAGGGAGGGAGAUCUUGCGGCGAAGUUUCUGGAUCGAAGGUCGGCGGCCGGAAGGCAGUUGCUGAUUAGGAUACGGACGGUGCCGAUCAGAUGGUCGCGGAUGACCCCAACGGCGUAGAUCUCGACGGCUACGGCGGAGGUGUCACAGGCGAGGAAAUCAGAACUGACUCGAAAGAUGAACUUAUCGUUCCAGGUCGGGUUUUCCGCGCCCACUCGAUCGACUUGUGUGCGGAGCUUGUUGGCUGAGUCUAUCCAGGCGAUCGCAUAGGUUUGCAUGCGCCGUAAGUUGCCGGAGGGAGGCUUGAGGCCCUGCGCAGAGAUCAAGAUGAUCUCCAAAAGUUGAGUUUCCAUGCGCUUCUCUUUCUUUCUCUCUCGCUUUCUUUCUGUCUCCCUUCCUUCUCCGGUCUAUGACAUGAACACCUCUGAAUCCAAGAACAACUCCAGUGAGAUAAGUGGACCACGGCUCUGAUUCGAAUUAGAUUCAAAGAUAAGAAUCCGCAUCCAUCUAGAAUUGUGGGAUCACAAUAUAACGAUUCCGGCGACCGGCCUCCGGGCACGGCGGAGAGAUUUUGAGAUGAUUCAGAGCCUAAAAGAAGAACCUUCUUGAGAAGGUGUGAAAACUAAGAUUGGUGAAAUUACAGAAAUAACCUUUUCCACAUUUAUUUUCUAUUGGAGCUUGGACGGGCGCACAUGGGCCGGAAUUGGCUGUUAGUGGGCGGCGGGCCAAACAAGGAAAACAUAAGACUCCAACUGACAAAGCCCAUGUAGCCCAUUUCAAGAAACCACACCACAAAACCAAAAAAAAAACUAAAGGAUUAAAGGGACAGUAGGAGAACAAUUAGAGAGAUAAAUAAUUGAAAAAAAUAAAAAUAAAUAAUUAUCUUCCAUCCACCGUUAUUAACUGUUAGUUUAUCACACAACCUUUUCUAAUGAUAAAUUUAAAAAGUAAGUCGAUCAUUUCAUAUUUUGAUCGAUUUUCUAAAAUCUGAAUCAAUGAUUUUGAAACCACUAAAAUCAAGUUUAACUUUAAUAACAAUUUAUUAUCACCAAAGAGAGUUUCAAACACAGUAGAACUCUACGGUCAACCCCAUACAUUAAGCAAUCUACAACCCUCCUAUAGGAGAAAAAGGAAAUAGAGAUGCAAUUUUAGCCCAAAAAGAGUUGCAUUGCUACAGUCACACACUUAAAAUUGUAGAGUAUUUUCAUGGUUUGACUGAGAUUGGACUAGGUGCUGCUGCUCUAUGCCUUCUGGUUCUCAGUUUCUUCUUCCUCGACAACUUUCUUUCCAAAUCAUUCACUCUCCCGGUUAAGUUUGAUAUGACUGUUAAUUGCUCCUUCCCCGCAUUGAUCAGCUGCUCCAUCAUCUCCCUCAGUUUCUUGUUUUCUUCUAUUAGCUUUUCAUCGGGAGUCUUCCCUGUGUCUUGGAUCACAACCUGAUUGCCGGUGGCCACUUCAUCACUCUGUGUUCCAGGAGCCUCUUCUCUGGCAGUUUCGGAUCCUUUAGGAUUGUCGCUAAUGACAGAUUCCACCUCCUGGGGUUCAAACUUCCCCUCCAGGGACUCUUCUUUGGUUUCUUCAAUGGGCACUUCCUUCUUAUGGGAAUCAACCACUGCAGAGUCAGCACCAGGAGAGUUCGUCUCAUCAACGUUAAUGGCUCCCUGGUCUUCCUUGUCUUCUUCGUGGCAAGGUUCUUUCUC